rnacentral:lncRNA from 1 species
AAGGUAUUAUUUCAUUGUCAAGACUCAAGCUGAAAAUUGUCAUGAAUCAAUCAGUAUCUUUUUAGAUGUGUUGGGUGCUAUCUUACAUUAUUAUUCUUUACAGAGGUGCAAGCAUUUCGAGAUUGGUGGAGACAAGAAGGGCAAGGGAACAUCUCUUUUCUAAACUACCUACUGGAUACUGAAGUUGUGGGUCUAUUGUGCUUCAUACUUCAAUGUUAUUAGGAACUUAAUUUAAGCAGACCAUAUCAUGUAUUCAAGUAUCAUCGUCUGACAUUUACUCUAGCAAGGAUUGGCUUUCUGCUGAAUCAAGUUUUCUUGCUUAAUGCUCGUCGAAUCCAAUGUGAUGCAUGUCUUUAGAUGGCACUGCAAUUGUGACUUUUGUCUUAUGGCAGUUUUAUCUCCCUAAGUCCUCAGUGUCUGUUUUUCGUUAUCUUACCCGAGUUUGCAAUCCUAGAGCGACCCACGUAAACGAAUUCCUGUGACAUGAAUCCCUGAGAGGCUAGUCUGAUGAACUUCCGUUUUUCAGAUCGAAUUUCGUAUAUGGUUAACUAUACUAUGUUUUGUUCAAUAUCUUCGUAACGAGAUGGAAGGUAUGGAAUACUAUGGAUGGAGGUGAAUUGAAAGAUAGGCCUUGGUCUUGUGAUUGUUAUCUUAGAAGGUCGAUACUAAUGUUUGGUCUUGUGGCGUUAGUGAAACUGUUUUCGUAGCAAUGUUUGGUCUUGUGAUGUUAUUGAACUGUUUUCGUAGCAUUGUAUUACUUGUUCCAUUCUUCAUGCAUGAUUUGGAUAGGUUAUUGACAAUUGUUUAUAGUAAUGAAUUAAAUAUUACACUCCUAAAUUAUUAUAAACCGAAUAAAUAGCUUAAAGCGAGCCAGGCAAUGCUGAUGUAGAAAAUUUCUAGUUUGAGAACCGUGGUAUGCAUAUCCCGAAGUUCAUAAGCUGAAAAGAUUGCACCCUAAAUCUAAUGUAUUGUAGUUUUCCUGUACUGAAAAUGCUGUUGGAUCGGACAGCCGUGGUGAUUGGUUGCGUUCAUUUUCAAGUUGUAGCCAAGUUAAAUAAAGUAUAGAAGGAUAUGCAAGUAGCAACAUCGGAGGAGUGCCAUCGCAGUGAUCCUCCCAAAAAGCACGAAAGAAACAUCUUCAUUGGAACCUAAGCAGCUCUGGCCUUUUGAGCCCAGAAAAGCUAUCCUUGAUUCAAGCACAAACCGUCAUUUGGUUAUAUGCUUUCUCCAAAUACUAGCAUGAGUAAAUUGCAUUGGCGGUACACGAACUUGCUAGGUGGAAGCAAUCUAGUACAUAAACUUAUAAAACGCUCAUUUUGAUACACGAACUUGUUAGGUGCAUGUGAAUCAAGGCCAAAAGAAAAAACAAAGCUAAUCUUAUUUUAGUGUUAAUUAGGAUACUACAUAAACACAUGUGUGAGAAAAAUGCUAAGUACAUAUACAUUUGUUCAAUAAAAAGGGGUUAAUAAGGCCUAAAGAUUGUAUGGAGAAAGACACAAAAAUACUGAGAAAUAGUGCAAGGGGUAGAACAAAGAAUAAUAAAGCACAAAUGCAUGUCUCAUGUCCACCUCCAUAUGCACAUCUCGUCCUAAUCAGUGUAUAACUUAGUAAAAUUGAUUAUGAUGUGUCAUUUUGACCUUGUUUCACAUGCAUCGAACAAAUUCAUGUACCGAAACAAGUCUUUUACAAGUUCGUGUAGUAAAGUGCAUCCAUCUGGCAAUUUACUCUACUAGCAUUUGAAGCUAAAAGGCUUUGGCCUUUUGGAGCCCAGAAAAGCUGUUCUUGAUUCCAGAACAGAUCGUCAUUUUUGGGGUAUAUGCCUCCUCCAGAAUCCUAAAAUUCUCAUUUCAUGUAAGGAAAAUCGCAAGUGUCCAACGCUGAAUCCAUCCCAGAGAUCUCAGUGAGCAAAUUGCACAGCGCCAGUUGGGACUAUUCAAGGAUUUUCAGGGCCAUGCCCUGUACCCAUCAUCCAUCACCCAGCAACAAAACAAGCCGGACCGUAGUGUGUCAAGCAUGCACUGCUUCUGCUCUCCGAUCUAACCGGUAGCCCCCAACUCAUUCUGAACCACACCUUGUGUUUUGGACCACAUCACAAAAUUCAGAAGCAGCAGCAGCAGCAGCAAAGGGUCAAGCAAAAAAUCUAACAGCUUUAUUUAGGCAGAUCCACCUCUCUACAUCAUCAUAGUCAUAGUACAAGAACUCGACGAAUUCAGAAGAAACAUUGGCAGCUACACCUAGAGAAAGAAAAAUGAAAAGAAAAGAAGAUCUAAUAUAUUACAAGGGAUCCUUGGAUAUAUGCUCAUAGCAUUGUUACAUCCCGAGCACCGAGUCGCGACUUGUGGCGAAAACGGGUGCCAUUUCCAUGCUUAUGCCAUUACUGCUUCGCCUGAAAAAAUGAGAUGUUUUUUUUUUGGUUAGAGAUUCAGACUUAUGUUCAUGAAUUGGCUCUUUUGUGAAAAAUGUGAUUUGGUAAAACAUGUGCGGAAAAUCUACCUGAGAGUAGAUGAAAGUUCCGAGAAUCGCAAUGGCGGCUCCGAGGGCGUUGAUGGGCUGGACCGGCGUGUGGAAGAUGAUGAUGGAGGCGACAAUGACGGAGAUCCGCUUCAUGGUGUUGCCGAUGCUGAAUGUCAGUGGUGAGAUCUCGUCCAAUGACAUGUAGGACACUUGGUUGUACAAGUGGUAGAACACACUCUGCGCCGCCACCCACCUACAAAACCACAGAGAAAUCCAUGGCCACAUGAAUCAGCUGGAUUAUCACACAAAAAUAUCAUCAAAUCUUUUGAUACUUCUUAUUUCUCUUUCAGAAUGAACUGAAGAAGAUAUUGCCGCUUAGGAGGAAAUGAUAGUGAUAGGACGAUCCUAUAUCUAUAUUAAUUGAUAAUGGUUCUUUUUGUAUAGAAUACUUGAGUGAUGUUACUGAAAGUACAAAGUGUUGCAUGCUGAAACUGUUUGAAAGCUUAGGUCAAGCACUUAUCACUAGAAAUUUUUUGCCCAAUUGAUACCCAAAAAUCUCAACUGACGUGAUGGUUGUGACAGUGAAACGGUGAGAAGUGGUACAAAGAAAAGCAUGUGAGGCUCACCAGACGAAGUUUGGACCGAUCUCGGCGACGGCUUUUUGCCAGCCGGCAGCCCACACCUUGGGCCCCUCCAUGGCGAAGGCGAAAGGGAGGAGGAUGACCAGCGAGAGCAUGGAGAGGCAGGCGUAGUAGUUCAUCCCGCUCACCGACUUGCCCUUCAUCCCCUUCUUGGAGAAUAUGUUCCGGAACACGAAUGCCAGGUUCGAGAUCAUCGCCCCCAUGAAUCCUGCAUCGAAUUUUCAGCAAUACACGAUGAACAGAUUGAUGUGAUGUGUCAGGUUUAUGAACAAAUUGUGCACUUUUUCGUGGCUGGUGUAUAUUUCUUUAUCUGACAUAAGAAAACAUAUCUUUGGUUAAUGGACAGUUCUUGUUCUGAAGAAUUCUUGGAGAUAAUAUCUAUUUUUUUAAUCAAAAAGUGAGGAUAUUUCUGGUGUAUCUGCUGCAAGUAUCUCCAGGAUUUCAGGUGGAGAGACAGAGAGAUGCAGAGUGUUUGCUCACUCACCAAUCAUGUUGAAAUUGAGCUCGGUGAUGGCGGCGAGGGCGCAUCCGCCGAUGAUUGGGAGGAGGGAGAAGUAGACCGGCGCCGGGAAGUGCUCGCCGAGGAAGAACCUGGAGACGAGCACGCUGAACGCCGGCUCGCCGCUCUUGAUGAUGUGGGUGAACGACACCGCCACCUUCGCCAUGCUCACCGUCGCCGCCACGUGCCCGAUGGUGUGCGCGAUCGCCACCUGCUCGUCCCACAACGAGCAAAAACGAAUCCCCAAAUCCAACGAACGCGUCAGAGAUUCAGAAUAGAACAGAAUCAAGAAGGAGGAGACGAUGGUGUCCAUGGUCAAUGCGAUCUCACCGGUGACAGGGCCUUCCAGAAAUCGAGGUCGGUGGCGGGCGCCUCGGCGAUCCUGGUGGCCCAGGAGGCGAGCAUGAUGGCGGAGCCGGCGGCGAGGGAGAGCGUGGACGUGAGCCACGGGUAAGGGAACGCGUUGAGCACCUUCUUGUUGUAGAUGUUGAAGAUCACGUUCAGCGCCCACCACGUCGCGAAGUAGACCCCGAUCUUGGCCCGCCUCGCCGCCUCCUCCGGCGCCGCGCCCGCCGGUGCAGCCUCCACCGGCCGGGCGCCGUCGGCGGUGGCGGACGGCGGCGGCGGCGCCGGUGACGCGACGCGCGACGCCAGGAAUAACGGGUCCUGCUGCCGGUACAGGGGGCGCGCCGAGAGGGAGAGGGGACGUGGCCCGGCGGCGGCGGCGGCGGCGGCGAAGAGGGGAGGGAGGUGGAGGGGCUUGAAUAAUGCCAUCUUGGGCGCCGUGGCGGUCCCGGCCGUGGAGAGCUUGACGGAGGCGGCGGCGGCGAGCAUAUUGGCGGCGGGAAUGGUGGCGCCGGCUUCUUCAGUUACAGUUACUGUGUUGUGUUGUAGCCGGCCGUCCGUACGUCUAUGGCGGCGAUGGGUUGCGGCCAUAGAGACCGCUCGCAUCGAGUCUUCUUCAAUCCGACUAUAACAAAUUGCUAGCUAGUUCCACGCCCUCCAACGCCCUUUUAGGGAAGGAAGCCUCAAAGGAGGGAGGGCCGCCGAACAAUGUGGUUGAGGACAAUCCAAGGAAAAGGGUGGAGACGAAGAGGGAGCUGGACAAAAGAUAAGUGGUAGAGGGGGGAAUCCUACAGCUAGAAGAACAUCAACCGCGUCAACAGGGAAGGCUGCAAGAAUAGUAGCCAUUCAAGCCAAAGAAAACCGUAGGCACUAACAUAAAAGACCUGACCUAAUCCAUCAAUCAAGGAGCAUGCUAAAAGGAGAUCUAGAGAGAGGGAGAGGCACUGGCAAAUCCUAAUUGAUGGAUCAGAGCCAAGCAUGUUAUGGCAAGGAGCUCGUUGGCUAGCUCAAGGGCGCCUCAAAGAGGAGGGAGGAGGAGGGAUGGGGAUGGAAGAAGGUGUUGGGCAAGGUCACCAGUCCCGCGGGGGAGGGGGGGUCCGAGGCCAGAGCCUGCCACCGGUGCCACGGAUUCGACCAGAUCCAGACGCUAGGAGCGCAGAUCUGCACGCCACCAGUCGGGGGCGCCGGGCCUAGCCUUCAUCGCCGGCUGAGGGGGGGGGGACUAUAAGGAGCCAAGCCGAGGCCCAUCACCGCCCUCACGGACGACACGUCGCCAGACAGCACCGCUGGCGACUGCCCUCCGCGGCCAAGGAGCACGACCGCUCCUUCGCCGGGAACAGCACACCGUCGCCGGGACACACGCCGCCGCACCGCCUCCACCACGCCCCAUCGCGCCACCGCGCACGGCAUUGUUGCUCUCCUCCGGCCAGGUCCAAAAGCAGGGUGCAUUUUUCAUGUUAUGAUACAUGGUUCCUGUUUUCAGGCAAAAACCACCAAGAAGAUUGUGCUGAAGCUGCAAUGCCAAAGCUGCAAGCAUUACUCCCAGCACCCCAUCAAGGUAUUUUUGCAAUGUGAAGAUUCAAGCUGAAAAUUCUCAUGAAUCAGUAUCUUUUUAGAUGUGUUGGAUGCUCACUUACAUAAUUAUUCUGUGCAGAGGUGCAAGCAUUUUAAAAUUGGUGGAGACAAGAAGGGCAAGGGAACGUCUCUUUUCUAAACUACCUACUGGAUACUGAAGUUGUGGGUCUACUGUGCUUCAUACUUCAAUGUUAUUAGGAGCUUAAUUUAAGCAGACCAUAUCAUGUAUUCAAGUACUCUAGCAAGGAUUGGCUUUCUGCUGAAUCAAGUUUUGUUGCUUAAUGCUCAUUGAAUCCAAUGUGAUGCAUGUGUUUAUGUUGCACUGCAAUUUUGUCUUAUGGCAGUUUUAUCUCCCUAAGUACUCGGUGUCUGUUUUUCGUUAUCUUACCUAUGUUUGCAAUCCUAGAGCGACCCACUUAAACGAAUUCCUGUGACAUGAAUCCCUGAGAGGUUAGUCUGAUGAACUUCCAUUUUUCAGACUGAAUUUCGUAUAUGGUUAACUAUACUAUGUUUUGUUCAAUAUCUUCGUCACGAGAUAGAAGGUAUGGAAUACCAUGGAUGGAGGUGAAUUGUAAGAUAGGCCUUGGUCUUGUGAUUGUUAUCUUAGAAGGUCGAUACUAAUGUUUGGUCUUGUGGCGUUAGUGAAACUGUUUUCGUAGCAAUGUUUGGUCUUGUGAUGUUAGUGAACUGUUUUCGUAGCAUUGUAGUACUUGUUCCAUUCUUCAUGCAUGAUUUGGAUAGGUUAUUGACAAUUGUUUAUAGUAAUGAAUUAAAUAUUACACUCCUAAAUCUAUUAUAUAAUUAAAGGAAUAGAAAAAAGAGCCUCCACGUUUACUCUCAUGGCUUAGAAAUUCUCACAUUAAUCGGAGAAAAAAAAACAGAGUCCAUAUAGAAAUACAAUUUAGAAAUAGCUGAAAUUCGGAAUUAAAAAAUAAGGAAUAUUAGAAGAGAAGACUAGAGUUCAUAUAGAAAUACACUUUAGAAAUAGUUGAAAUUUGGAAUUAAAAAAUAAGGAAUAUUAGAAGAGGAGUAUAGAGUCCAUAUAGAAAUACAAUUAGGAAAUAAUAGAAAUUCGGAAUUAAAAAUAAAGAAUAUUAGAAGUAGAGUAUAGAGUCCAUAUAGAAAUACAAUUAGGAAAUAAUAGAAAUUCUGAAUUAAAAAUAAGGAAUAUUAGAAGUAGAGUAUAAAGUCCAUAUAGAAAUACAAUUAAGAAAAAAUAGAAAUUCAGAAUUAAAAAAUAAGAAAUAUUAGAAGUAGAGUAUAGAGUCCAUAUAGGAAUUUAAAACUAACUAAAAUUCGGAAAAAAAAAGGAGCCUCUACGUUCGCUCCCAUGGCCUAGAAAUUCUCACAUUAAUCGAAGAAAAAGAAAAAAACAGAGUUCAUAUAGAAAUACAAUUUAGAAAUAGCUGAAAUUCAGAAUUAAAAAUAAGGAAUAUUAGAAGAGGAGACUAGAGUCCAUAUAGAAAUACACUUUAGAAAUAGCUGAAAUUCGGAAUUAAAAAAAGAAAUAUUAGAAUAGGAGUAUAGAGUCCAUAUAGAAAUACAAUUAGGAAAUAGUUGAAAUUCGGAAUUAAAAAUAAGGAAUAUUAGAAGUAGAGUAUAGAGUCCAUAUAGAAAUACAAUUAGGAAAUAAUUGAAAUUCGGAAUUAAAAAUAAGGAAUAUUAGAAGUAGAGUAUAGAGUCCAUAUAGAAAUACAAUUAGGAAAUAACUGAAAUUCGGAAUUAAAAAUAAGGAAUAUUAGAAGUAGAGCAUAGAGUCCAUAUAGAAAUACAAUUAAGAAAAAAAAUAGAAAUUUGGAAUUAAAAAUAAGAAAUAUUAGAAGUAGAGUAUAGAGUCCAUAUAGGAAUUUCAAACUAACUAAAAUUCGGAAAAAAAAAGGAGCCUUCACGUUCGCUCUCAUGAUCUAGAAAUUCUCACAUUAAUCGGAGAAAAAGAAAAAGCAGAAUCUAUAUAGAAAUACAAUUUAGAAAUAGCUGAAAUUCGGAAUUAAAAAAAAGAAAUAUUAAAAGAGGAGACUAGAGUCCAUAUAGAAAUACAAUUUAGAAAUAGUUGAAAUUCGGAAUUAAAAAAUAAGGAAUAUUAGAAGUGGAGACUAGAGUCCAUAUAGAAAUACAAUUAGGAAAUAACUGAAAUUCGAAAUUAAAAAUAAGGAAUAUUAGAAGUAGAGUAUAGAGUACAUAUAGAAAUACAAUUAGGAAAUAACCGAAAUUUGGAAUUAAAAAUAAGAAAUAUUAGAAGUAGAGUAUAGAGUCCUUAUAGAAAUACAAUUAAGAAAAAAAAUAGAAAUUUGGAAUUAAAAAAUAAGGAAUAUUAGAAGUAGAAUAUAGAGUUCAUAUUGGAAUUUAAAACCAACUAAAAUUCGGAAUAAAAAGGAGCUUUCAGGUUCGCUCUCAUGGCAUAGAAAUUCUCACAUUAAUCAGAGAAAAAGAAAAAACAGAGUCCAUAUAGAAAUACAAUUUAGAAAUAGCUGAAAUUCAGAAUUAAAAAAUAAGAAAUAUUAGAAGAGGAGACUAGAGUAGUUAUUACACAUUAGUAGUUUUGAAAAGUUAUUGCAAAAUUUAAAAUUAUGUUGUCAUUGUAAUAUAUUAUAAUAAUAUAAUGAGAAAACAUAUAUGCUAUUAUAUGAGAGAAAAUAUAAUGAUGCUAGCCGCGCAAUAUGCGCAGGCCACCAUGCUAGUUAUUAUAAACCGAAUAAAUAGCUUAGAACGAGCCAGGCAAUGCUGAUGUAGAAAAUUUCUAGUUUGAGAACAGUGGUAUGCAUAUCCCGAAGUUCAUAAGCUGAAAAGAUUGCACCCUAAAUCUAAUGUAUUGUAAUUUUCCUGUACUGAAAAUGCUGAGGGGGGGACUACAAGGAGCCAAGCCGAGGCCCGUCACCGCCCUCACGGACGACACGUCGCCAGACAGCACCGCUAGCGACUGCCCUCCGCGGCCAAGGAGCACGACCGCUCCUUCGCCGGGAACAGCACACCGUCGCCGGGACACACGCCGCCGCACCGCCUCCACCACGCCCCAUCGCGCCACCGCGCACGGCAUUGUUGCUCUCCUCCGGCCAGGUCCAAAAGCAGGGUGCCAGAUCCAGCCACGGGGGCGCCAGAUCCGAAGCUUCGCGCCGCGCUGAUGUCAGCCCCCACCUAUCACGCGCCGCGUCAUCAUCCUCACGCUGAGCCGUCGCGUCGCCGAGGAAUGGCCUCGCCGCCGCCCUCACAGUUGGCCGCGCGGAACUCCGGUGGCGCGCUCCGGCGGCGGCGAGGGGGGAGAGGAAGGGAGGGGGCGGCGGGGGCUAGGGUUCACCCCCUGUGCCGCUCGCGUGAGAGGGCGACGCGGGGGUCGUGCCGGCUUCGUACUCUUCCAAUUGAGGAUAAGAUGAACUGAUGUGAUAAGUAGUACGGGAUUGUACUUAUUUUAAAACAAAAUUUGAAUAUAAAAUCAUACUUAUUUUAGAAGGAUUGUAGUAUUUGGACUUGGGAGUAAUUUUACUGUUCUUGGUAUUAGAAGGUACCAUUUCUUUUAUAUAAAACUUGGUAUUUCUCGAGGUAUAAAAAACAUACGGUUAGGACCGUAACGAACUGUGUUAGCUGUAGGUUUGCAUCUGUUCCCAAGGUGAUUUAAUUUGAGCAAUUGCAAAUAGCUUUUUCUUCUUUCACUCGGCAGCUGAAUCUUGCUUGGUGGAGUACUCGGGCCGUGCACGUUCAUCCACGGGUUUGAUUUGACAUUGGUCAUGAGCGCGUUUUAGUGGACAAAGUGGUGGUUAGCAUAGUGAAAUUGUCAACGCGAGAAGCAGAAACCAAUUGCUGUUGCUGUCGCCGGUACCAAUACUGUAUGGUGUUCCUGUUCCAUCAGAAUUCAGUCGAGUGCAUGGCAGCUCAUUCUUGUGGCCCAUCACACAAUUAAUCUCCGACGAUGUACUGUACGUAGUGGAGCAUUUAGAUUAGUAAUUCUCGAAUACAUUUUCGUAAGGGUUAAGUGGGCAUAUGUAACGUGUUCACUCCUUGUUACUAUCUCUGUUUUCAGAUGAGUGACAUCAUCAGCAUAGUCCGCAAUACACAUUUUAUCAUCAUAACAAUUUUACACUAUAAAAAACGAUUUUUCGUGAUGUUACCCUAUAUUUUACGCUGGCGUCCAUAUGCAAAAACCGCCAAAAAAACAUAACAAUAGGUGGGGGGCUACGGACCACCAGCAGAAACCAAUUUUUGCUGAUAACCACGCUAAGAGAAAUGCCUAAAAAAACUACUCUAUUUUUCGAGACGAACCUCUUAAGUGUCUGCCAGUUUUUCGAGGCGGACCUCUUAAGUGUCCGCCAGCGAAAAAUCUCAUUUUCACCGGCAGUAGGUAAGGAGGACCACUGCGAAAAAUGUUUUGGGCGAAUAUAUAAAUCUACUGUCCCCCACCCCCACCGCUCCCUUCUCCCUUCCCCCACUGCGCGGCCCCUCCGCCGCCUCUCUUCCUUCUCUCUCGGUUUCACCUUCUUCCUCCCUUCUCCACCGCCGCCGGCUGCCGUCGCCUCUACCGCCUCUCCGCGGUGGUGGGGCGUGGCCUCCUCCUCUCCACCGCUAGCCGCCAUAAGCUCGGGGCCGGAUUCGGCCGCUGCGACGAUGGUGGAGGCCGGAUCUGCCGCCGCGACGACGGGGGAGGCUAGAUCCGUCGCCGCGACCGCCGCAGGGCCACUAGUCUCUAAAGACUAAACUAUAUAUUUAAAAAAACAUUACCAAUAUAACUUUAUGAAAGAGAGUUUCUCAUAAAAAAAAAUAUACCAAUAUAACUUUUCAUAUUUUAAAUAUUUUUACGUCUAUUAAAUUUUUAAGGUUUCAAGAUUUGACUGCACUUACAGGAGAUACUACUAUACAAGAAUCAACGAGAAACGAAUUUUUAAGUUGCGAUAAACUGGUAGUAGUAAGAUUUUGUGAACAAGGAUAAUGCAUAUCUGUGUAAAAAAAAUAUAUAGUGCAAAUCACAUAUACAUUGAAAAUCUAGAAACUAUUGUCACGAGUAAAAUUUUUACCAACCAAACGGCCACAAUGUCGCGCAGGGCUUAUCCGGGGCACUACUGCCCAUGGGCUGAAAGUGCGGCCACAAGCCCACAAUAUCUUGCGGGGCUUAGCCGGGGCACCACGGCCCAUGGGCUCUAUCUCCCUCACCAGUAAAGCCCUAGCCUCCAAGACCGCACCCGUAUAAAGCUGCAGACCUCUCUCUCCUUCUCCUCCCCCGCCACCGCCGCUCGCCUCCGAAACCCUAGCCGCCCCCUCCCCGCGGCCGCGAAAAUGGUACGCUUCUCCCUCCUCCUCCUCCUCCUCCUCCCCUCCGCCGCACGACGGGAAGAUCGCACGCGUGCUUGUCCUCGUGCCAGUCCACGGCUCCGCGCGCCGUCUUUCUCAUGGUGUUUCACAAUUUGUAGGAUGCGUUCUUUAUUCAUGUUGAUCUGCCGUAGAUGGGGGGAUCUUGAGCCGGAGGAGAGGAGUAGCUAGUUUCUUUGAUUAUGCGUUUUGGGGUCUAGCGGAUUUUAACAUGAGAUGGUUUCUCUUUAGCGACAUUUUUUUUGUUCAUGUUGAUGUCCACGGUGAUUGUUCUAGUUAUGUCAUUUUUAUCUUCAAGACUUCAAUGCUUUGAAUCGUGGGUAUAGACCAGAUUAUUGUCGUGAAGAUCGACGUAUUUUCCGAGCUGACCCUCUGCAUGCUGAAAAUUUUGUAGUGGGUUAUAUCUAGAUUAUAUGUGUAUUGUUGUCAUUUAAUUAGCACUUAAACUUCUGUAGUAUGAACAUUUUCAUCAUUUUCCUGUGAGGACAUGGGAUGAGUUCCUUUUUUUUUCUCUUGUUCUAAAAUUGUUCGGUAAUCUUGUCUGGCUUUGACUGAUGGGCUCCGAUGAUGGCAUGAAAUCUUUGAGACCUGACAUUCUUGUGAUGACAAACAUAAGCAUAUUUCCUGAGACCCAAUUGAGGUUUUAACCAUUGGUUUGCUGAAUGUGUCUUCACUGUUGAAAAAUUUGUACACACAUUUGCUUCAAAUUAUGCACAUUUGAUUAUUGUUUAUAGGCCUGCGAUGUCCAUUCCACAUUCAGUAUUUGUUAAGCUGAGUGCUUUUGUUUCAAAUUUGUUUUGUAUAGGUGAACGUUCCCAAGACCAAGAAGACCUACUGCAAGAACAAGGAGUGCAGGAAGCACACCCUUCACAAGGUCACUCAGUACAAGAAGGGUAAGGACAGCCUGUCUGCCCAGGGAAAGCGCCGUUAUGACCGAAAGCAGUCAGGAUAUGGUGGUCAGACCAAGCCUGUUUUCCACAAGAAGGUACUGUGACAGUUUAUAUAUGAUUAUGCAGUGUUGUGUGUGACUCUCUGUUCAUUAGAAACGUACGGUGUCAUGAUUGAUGUAGCAGUGAUAUGUGUCUGUACAAUGCAUGUGGCAAUAACCAUCACGUAGUUUUAAUUGCAUGUGGCUUUCAGCUGUGCAUUUUUCAUGUUAUGAUACAUGGUUCCUGUUUUCAGGCAAAAACCACCAAGAAGAUCGUGCUGAAGCUGCAAUGCCAAAGCUGCAAGCAUUACUCCCAGCACCCCAUCAAGGUAUUAUUUCAUUGUCAAGACUCCAGAGCUGAAAAUUAUCAUGAAUCAUUAUUUUGCUGGAUGUGUUGGAUGCUCACUUGCAUAAUUGUUCUCUGCAGAGGUGCAAGCAUUUCGAGAUUGGUGGAGACAAGAAGGGCAAGGGAACAUCUCUUUUCUAAAUUGCUUGCUACCUACUGGAUACUAUAGUUGUUGGUCUACUGUGCUUCAAUAUUUCAAUGUUAUUAGGAGCUUAUUUAAGCAGACCAUAUCAAUGUAUUCAAGUAUCAUCGUCUGACAUUUACUCUAGCAAGGAUUGGCUUUCUGCUGAAUCAAGUUUUGUUGCUUAAUGCUCGUUGAAUCCAAUGUGAUGCAUGUGUUUAUAUUUUGCUGCAAUUUUAUCUUACGACAGUUCUAUUUACCUUAGUCCUCAGUAUCCCUUUUCUUUUUUUGUUAUCUUACCUGCUGUCUUUUGAUUAGUAGUUAGCAAACAUAGAGCGACCCACUUUAAUUACUUCCCGUGACAUGAAUAUGACCUCGAGAGAUUAGUCUAGUGAACUUCCUUUUUCAGACUGAAUGUUGUAUUGUUAACUGUACUGGCGUUUGGUCAGUAUCUUUCGAAAGAGAUGGAAUGUAGGGACGUAAUUUUAUUGCAAGAUAAUUCAUUUGUUCUUGUGGUUCAGUAUCUUGGAAGGUCUUGUGAUAUUAGUGAAUUCUUUUCGUAGCAUUGCAGUACUUGCUCUGUCCUUAAUGCAUGAUUCGAUAGGCUACGCAAUCCCGUUUGUAGUAAUGAAUUAAAAAUUAUAUAUUAUUAUGAACCGAAUAAAUAGCUUCGAACAAGCUAAGCAAUGCUGAUGUAGAAAAAAAUUAGUUUGAGAACCGUGGUAUAUUCCAAAGUUUGUAACUGUCAUAAGCUGCCCCCCAACCCACCCAAAAAAACCGGAUGGCAGCAAUCACAACUUAGCAUUGCUGCUCAUGGCAAUGUUCAUAUACUAUGAGUGCGGGUUAGUUCAGACUACAGACACGUGUGGUAAUUGUUUUUUUUUUAGUUUUUUAUUUUGUUUGUUAGGUGGUGUUUGGAUCCAGGGAUUAAACUUUAGUCUUUGUUUUAGAUACUAAUUUAGAGUAUUAAAUAUUGACUACUUACAAAACUAAUUACAUAAAUGAGAGCUAAUUCGUGAGACAAAUUUUUUAGGGUUAAUUGGAUAGAUGCCAUUAUAAAAUCUUUAGUUUUGAAAUAUACCGUUACUAUUAAACUAUUUAGAAACAUGCCAUUACAACUUUUUCAGGUAUUGGAAAUAUGUCACUGUACAACCUUUGGAUGUGUUUAACAAAAAUUUUAGACCAAAUCGCUCUCGUCUUCUCCUUUGUCUCCACCCUCUCCUGUUCAUCUUCUUUCUUCCAUUUCUUUCCCUUUUGGAUCUGGUAUCUUAGUAUUCUUCCUCCACAUCUCCUUUCUCGGCCAGCAACGGCGGUGUUGUGCUGCACCAUCUAGUUUCCCUUCUUCCCUUCGCUGGCCGCAUCACCACCUUCUCAGUUUCCAGCCUCCCCGAGGUCUACUGCAACAACCAAGACGCGGAGCAUGUCGUUCUUGAAUGUCCAGCACCCGGACGCCCAAGGACGUGCCCCUGUCGGUGCAGCUGGAGUCAUUCGCCUACAGCGGCUUCACCAUGGCGUGGUCCACGUCCACCGAUUACGUGCUCGUCGACGAGCGCGCCUUGUGCACAGGGCCGGUCCUGAGUUUUCAAGCUCUAGGACAAAAACUUACGUGGAGGCCCCUAUAUAUAUACAUAAACUAAUAUAUAUAUUUAUAGUCUUAUAAACAUGUAAUAUUUAAUAUUUGAUAUGAUAAAAUUAUCUAUAUAUAAUAUUUUAAAACUUUCAAAGAGAAAUAAUAUAAUCAUAAACACUUACUUGGCACUUUCAAAAGUUUCUUCUAAAAUUUCAAUGAAAUCAUCCGAACAUUUUUUCCGUUUUCUUUUUUCGCUACCGGAUACAUAUUUUCUUGACAAUAUGAUUAAUGUUGUGCUAAAAAAUAAUCAUUAAUUAUUAAGUAGUACAAGCUAAUAAUUUUUGAUCUAUAAAGAGGAAAAAGAAAGAUAGAGAAAAUUACCUUAGACGACGACUGCGAGGCGCGAGCAGCCGAUCGGCCGAUGAGGGCGCGCCGCCGGGCGGUUGGCCUCCAAUCGACGUAGUCAGCCAGUCAUGCAGAGCCGCUGCGAUUUGCUGCCGAUUGCCGUGUUUGCGUUGCGGUUUGCCGCCGUUUACCGUUUGCAACGCGACGCGAGGCGUGAUCGAGGCGACGGGAACGGAGUCAGAUCGCUUCACUUUUCCUUCGCUCCUCUUCGUCUUCUGUCUUCGAUACCAUACAUGAUUCAGGACUGAGAGCGAUGCUGACCCUGGGGGCGUCGUGGGCCAUGGCCCAUCCGCCAUGGGGCCCCCUAAAUUUUGGGGGACUCGGGCGUGCGCACGGGCUGACCCCCCCUAGGGCCGGCCCUGCUUGUGCAUGAUCCUGACAAAGUGACUAUUACUGUGUACUCCUAAUCUCACAGCAGCAAGAAACGGGAGGAAGAAGAUGAACAACAGAACAGGAGAGAUGGGGGAGGCAAAGGAAGAAGACGGGGGCAAUUUGGUCCAAAAUUUUUGUUAGACAUAUCCAAGGGGUAUGUAAUGGUAUAUUUCCAAUACCUGAAAAAUUAUAAUGGCAUACCUCCAAAUAGUUGAGUAGUAAUGGUAUAUUUCAAAACUGAAGAAUUUACAAUGGCAUGUAUCCAAUUAACCCAAUUUUUUAAGCCUAAUUAAUUCAUAAUUAUAGAAUGUUUAUUGUAUCAUCACAUAGGCUAAUCAUGGAUUUAUUAGGCUCAAUAGAUUCGUCUCGCGAAUAAGUCCAAGAUUAUGGAUAGGUUUUGUUAAUAGUCUAUAUUUAAUACUUCUAAUUAGUGUCCAAACAUCCAAUUUGGAAGGGACUAAAAAAUUUUAGUCCAUUCCAAACACCUCCUUAUUAUUUUUAUCAAAUAGCCACGUAAGCGUCAUGUCAAUAGCACGUGGGACGAAGACCCCUAGUCAAAGGCGUCAUGUCAGCUAAAACCGGAGACAUUGCUACCGAGAGAGCUCGUUUGCACAGUUUGAAGAAGGUGUCAUGUCAGCCAAAACCAGAAAUAUUAUUACCGAGGGACCUCGUUUGCACACUUUGAAGGAUGGAUUGUAUAUGGUUUUCGGAUAAGGAUGAAAAACAGACUAAGCGACAAAGUAAGAGACCUAAAGUGAACUUAUUUGAGGGAUAAAGUCCACUUGGACUUCCUUAACUAUAAGGGAAUAAGUUCACCUGACGUCCCUUAACUUUAAGUCGAGUUCGUCUGAGGUUCCUAAUCCACAAUAAAAUCUCUACCUCUCAACUAAUCAUAAACCGUGCGAAAAAGAUCACAAAACAGACGGAGCGAUGAAGUAAGGGACCUAAAGUGAACUCAUUUUGAGGGAUAAAGUCACUUCAUAACUAUAAGGGAAUAUAAGUUCACCUGACGGCCCUCAACUUUAUGUUGAGUUUGUCUGAGGUCCCUAAUCCGCGAUAGCAAAAAUCUCUACCCCUCAACUAUCAUAAACCGUGCAAAAAAGAUCCCAAGACAAUAUUGAUCCAUUUUCUCCGGUUUUGCUGACGUGGCAUACGGUGGGACCCACAUGUCAGCGUCCUGUCUUCUCCUCUUUUCUUUUUUCUUUUUUUUUCUUCUUGUCUUUUCUUUCUUCUCUCUUCUCCUCUUCCCUUCUUCUCCUAGCCUGAGAGGCCGGCGGGCGGGCGAGCAGGCGACGGCAGGCGGUGGCGGCGGUGUGCGGAGCAGGCAAGGGGUAACGGGUGGCGGGCGAGCGACGGCGCCUCAGAGAGGGUGUGGUGUGGGCGUCGCUGUGCUGUGGCGGGCGGAGCGGGGUGGCGGCGGUGGGGUGCAGAGGACGACGACAUAUGGAAGUGAUGGCGGACGCUGUAGGGGACGAUGGCGAGGAGGACGAAGUAGGCCGGGAGAGGAUGACUCCGACGCGCUUGGGGUUUCACCAGGAGACCUCGCCUUCACCGUCUUCGUGCCCUCACCAGAGUCGUUCCACCGCGUCCUCAGGCUGCGGCGUCCCAAUAACAACGUUGCCGAUGGGUGGGUCUCACAUUUUCCUUCUAUUUCACUUACAUGUGGGACUCACAUAUUAUUUUAUUCCUAUUUUGCUAACUAGGAUGCCACGUUAGUGAAACCAAGACAUCUAUACUGCCAUAGGACAUAAAUUGAACGGUUUUGUAUAUUUGGGGUGAAGAUUUCUGGUAUUGAGGAUAAGGGAUGGCAAACAAACUCGGUGUAAAGUUGAGGGACAUCAGAUGAACUUAUUCCAACUAUAAGGCAACGCAUCACGGUGCAUGGCCCAUGGGCUGCGCAUUCUGGCCCACAAAGCAGCACACGCACCAGUAAACCCUAGCCUCCAGGAGCUCACCCGUAUAAAGUCGCAGACCUUCUCCUUCCCCUCCCCGCCGCCACUCGCCGCAGCGUGUCGACCAGACAAGGCAGCGCCUCCGAAACCCUAGCUCCCCGCCUUCCCCUCCGCGGCCGCCAAAAUGGUACGCUUCUUCCUCCUCCCCGUCCGCCUCUCUCCGCCGCACGACGGCAAGAUCAUGCGCUCGUGUGUCCUCGUGCCAGUCCACGGCACCCUGCUCUGGUCGAUUUGUAGGGGGAUUGCGUUCUUUAUUCAUGUUGAUCUGCUGUAGAUGGGGGCGAUCUUGAGCCGGAGGAGUAGCUAGUUUCUUAUUGAUGCGGUUUCGGGGUUUUUAGAGAUUUAACACGGUUUCGCGGUUUCUCUUUAGCGAUUUCUUUUUUCAUGUUGAUAUAAUGAUAUCCACGGUGGUUGUUCUAGUUAUGUCAUUUUUAUCUUGAGUGCUUUGUGUGAUUGUUUUUCAAUUGUGGGUAGAGACCAGAUUAUUGUCGUUAAGAUGCAUGCUCUGAAACGCGGAAUUUUUUUGUAAUGGGUUAUAUCUAGAUUAUGUGUAUUGCUGUCAUUCAAUAGUCUUUUCUUAAUACAAGGCGCAACCGUCUUUUCUUCAAGUACCAGUAUACAAGGCGGCAACUGCUCAACUCCGUACUUGGUGCAUGCAAGCAUUGAAUGGAUGGUUGCAUGAGCUCAUGAUAUUCGGUUCAUUAGUUUAAAGGCAAAGGAUCCACCACUCGGAUGCUUGCAUGCACGCGCAAAAACUGCAGGACACGGGUGCAUGCUGCUUUGGCACUAGAUGCGAUGAACUGAUCAAAGCGUCACGCAUUGGAACGCGCUGGAAUAAAUCGGUACGAUGGGUAGUUAUAGGUUUUCUUGUUCUCCGAGUCCAAACAAGUUAUGCCUUGUAUUAAGGAAUGGAGGGAGUAGCAAUUAACUUCUGGAGUAAACAUUUUUCAUCAUCUUCCUUGAGGACGUGGGAUGAAUUCUUUUUUUUAUCUUGUGCGAAAAUUGUUUGGUAAUCAUGUCUGGUUUUGACUGAUGGGCUCCGAUGAUGGCAUGAAAUCUUUGAGACCUGACAUUCUUGUGAUGACAAACAUAAGCAUAUUUCCUGAGGACCCAAUUGAGGUUUUAACCAUUGGUCUGCUGAAUUUGUCUUUGCUGUCGAAAAAUAUCGAUUCACAUGUGCUUCUGAUUAUGCACAUUUGAUUGUGUUGUUUAUAGGCCUGCUAUGUGCUUUCCAAUAACCAGUAUUUGUUAAAUUUGUUUCAUAUUUCUUAUGUAUAGGUGAACGUUCCCAAGACCAAGAAGACCUACUGCAAGAACAAGGAGUGCAGGAAGCACACCCUUCACAAGGUCACUCAGUACAAGAAGGGUAAGGACAGCCUGUCUGCCCAGGGAAAGCGCCGUUAUGACCGUAAGCAGUCAGGAUAUGGUGGUCAGACCAAGCCUGUUUUCCACAAGAAGGUAUUGUGACAGUUUAUAUGUGAUUACGCAGUGCUGUGUGUGAUUGUCUCUCUUCAUUAGAAACAUAUGGUGUCAUGAUUUGUGUCUGUUCAAUGCAAACAUGUGGCAAUAACCAUCAUGUAGUUUUAAUGUAUCUGACUUUCAGCUGUGCAUUUUUCAUGUUAUGAUACAUGGUUCCUGUUUUCAGGCAAAAACCACCAAGAAGAUUGUGCUGAAGCUGCAAUGCCAAAGCUGCAAGCAUUACUCCCAGCACCCCAUCAAGGUAUUAUUUCAUUGUCAAGACUCAAGCUGAAAAUUGUCAUGAAUCAAUCAGUAUCUUUUUAGAUGUGUUGGGUGCUAUCUUACAUUAUUAUUCUUUACAGAGGUGCAAGCAUUUCGAGAUUGGUGGAGACAAGAAGGGCAAGGGAACAUCUCUUUUCUAAACUACCUACUGGAUACUGAAGUUGUGGGUCUAUUGUGCUUCAUACUUCAAUGUUAUUAGGAACUUAAUUUAAGCAGACCAUAUCAUGUAUUCAAGUAUCAUCGUCUGACAUUUACUCUAGCAAGGAUUGGCUUUCUGCUGAAUCAAGUUUUCUUGCUUAAUGCUCGUCGAAUCCAAUGUGAUGCAUGUCUUUAGAUGGCACUGCAAUUGUGACUUUUGUCUUAUGGCAGUUUUAUCUCCCUAAGUCCUCAGUGUCUGUUUUUCGUUAUCUUACCCGAGUUUGCAAUCCUAGAGCGACCCACGUAAACGAAUUCCUGUGACAUGAAUCCCUGAGAGGCUAGUCUGAUGAACUUCCGUUUUUCAGAUCGAAUUUCGUAUAUGGUUAACUAUACUAUGUUUUGUUCAAUAUCUUCGUAACGAGAUGGAAGGUAUGGAAUACUAUGGAUGGAGGUGAAUUGAAAGAUAGGCCUUGGUCUUGUGAUUGUUAUCUUAGAAGGUCGAUACUAAUGUUUGGUCUUGUGGCGUUAGUGAAACUGUUUUCGUAGCAAUGUUUGGUCUUGUGAUGUUAUUGAACUGUUUUCGUAGCAUUGUAUUACUUGUUCCAUUCUUCAUGCAUGAUUUGGAUAGGUUAUUGACAAUUGUUUAUAGUAAUGAAUUAAAUAUUACACUCCUAAAUUAUUAUAAACCGAAUAAAUAGCUUAAAGCGAGCCAGGCAAUGCUGAUGUAGAAAAUUUCUAGUUUGAGAACCGUGGUAUGCAUAUCCCGAAGUUCAUAAGCUGAAAAGAUUGCACCCUAAAUCUAAUGUAUUGUAGUUUUCCUGUACUGAAAAUGCUGUUGGAUCGGACAGCCGUGGUGAUUGGUUGCGUUCAUUUUCAAGUUGUAGCCAAGUUAAAUAAAGUAUAGAAGGAUAUGCAAGUAGCAACAUCGGAGGAGUGCCAUCGCAGUGAUCCUCCCAAAAAGCACGAAAGAAACAUCUUCAUUGGAACCUAAGCAGCUCUGGCCUUUUGAGCCCAGAAAAGCUAUCCUUGAUUCAAGCACAAACCGUCAUUUGGUUAUAUGCUUUCUCCAAAUACUAGCAUGAGUAAAUUGCAUUGGCGGUACACGAACUUGCUAGGUGGAAGCAAUCUAGUACAUAAACUUAUAAAACGCUCAUUUUGAUACACGAACUUGUUAGGUGCAUGUGAAUCAAGGCCAAAAGAAAAAACAAAGCUAAUCUUAUUUUAGUGUUAAUUAGGAUACUACAUAAACACAUGUGUGAGAAAAAUGCUAAGUACAUAUACAUUUGUUCAAUAAAAAGGGGUUAAUAAGGCCUAAAGAUUGUAUGGAGAAAGACACAAAAAUACUGAGAAAUAGUGCAAGGGGUAGAACAAAGAAUAAUAAAGCACAAAUGCAUGUCUCAUGUCCACCUCCAUAUGCACAUCUCGUCCUAAUCAGUGUAUAACUUAGUAAAAUUGAUUAUGAUGUGUCAUUUUGACCUUGUUUCACAUGCAUCGAACAAAUUCAUGUACCGAAACAAGUCUUUUACAAGUUCGUGUAGUAAAGUGCAUCCAUCUGGCAAUUUACUCUACUAGCAUUUGAAGCUAAAAGGCUUUGGCCUUUUGGAGCCCAGAAAAGCUGUUCUUGAUUCCAGAACAGAUCGUCAUUUUUGGGGUAUAUGCCUCCUCCAGAAUCCUAAAAUUCUCAUUUCAUGUAAGGAAAAUCGCAAGUGUCCAACGCUGAAUCCAUCCCAGAGAUCUCAGUGAGCAAAUUGCACAGCGCCAGUUGGGACUAUUCAAGGAUUUUCAGGGCCAUGCCCUGUACCCAUCAUCCAUCACCCAGCAACAAAACAAGCCGGACCGUAGUGUGUCAAGCAUGCACUGCUUCUGCUCUCCGAUCUAACCGGUAGCCCCCAACUCAUUCUGAACCACACCUUGUGUUUUGGACCACAUCACAAAAUUCAGAAGCAGCAGCAGCAGCAGCAAAGGGUCAAGCAAAAAAUCUAACAGCUUUAUUUAGGCAGAUCCACCUCUCUACAUCAUCAUAGUCAUAGUACAAGAACUCGACGAAUUCAGAAGAAACAUUGGCAGCUACACCUAGAGAAAGAAAAAUGAAAAGAAAAGAAGAUCUAAUAUAUUACAAGGGAUCCUUGGAUAUAUGCUCAUAGCAUUGUUACAUCCCGAGCACCGAGUCGCGACUUGUGGCGAAAACGGGUGCCAUUUCCAUGCUUAUGCCAUUACUGCUUCGCCUGAAAAAAUGAGAUGUUUUUUUUUUGGUUAGAGAUUCAGACUUAUGUUCAUGAAUUGGCUCUUUUGUGAAAAAUGUGAUUUGGUAAAACAUGUGCGGAAAAUCUACCUGAGAGUAGAUGAAAGUUCCGAGAAUCGCAAUGGCGGCUCCGAGGGCGUUGAUGGGCUGGACCGGCGUGUGGAAGAUGAUGAUGGAGGCGACAAUGACGGAGAUCCGCUUCAUGGUGUUGCCGAUGCUGAAUGUCAGUGGUGAGAUCUCGUCCAAUGACAUGUAGGACACUUGGUUGUACAAGUGGUAGAACACACUCUGCGCCGCCACCCACCUACAAAACCACAGAGAAAUCCAUGGCCACAUGAAUCAGCUGGAUUAUCACACAAAAAUAUCAUCAAAUCUUUUGAUACUUCUUAUUUCUCUUUCAGAAUGAACUGAAGAAGAUAUUGCCGCUUAGGAGGAAAUGAUAGUGAUAGGACGAUCCUAUAUCUAUAUUAAUUGAUAAUGGUUCUUUUUGUAUAGAAUACUUGAGUGAUGUUACUGAAAGUACAAAGUGUUGCAUGCUGAAACUGUUUGAAAGCUUAGGUCAAGCACUUAUCACUAGAAAUUUUUUGCCCAAUUGAUACCCAAAAAUCUCAACUGACGUGAUGGUUGUGACAGUGAAACGGUGAGAAGUGGUACAAAGAAAAGCAUGUGAGGCUCACCAGACGAAGUUUGGACCGAUCUCGGCGACGGCUUUUUGCCAGCCGGCAGCCCACACCUUGGGCCCCUCCAUGGCGAAGGCGAAAGGGAGGAGGAUGACCAGCGAGAGCAUGGAGAGGCAGGCGUAGUAGUUCAUCCCGCUCACCGACUUGCCCUUCAUCCCCUUCUUGGAGAAUAUGUUCCGGAACACGAAUGCCAGGUUCGAGAUCAUCGCCCCCAUGAAUCCUGCAUCGAAUUUUCAGCAAUACACGAUGAACAGAUUGAUGUGAUGUGUCAGGUUUAUGAACAAAUUGUGCACUUUUUCGUGGCUGGUGUAUAUUUCUUUAUCUGACAUAAGAAAACAUAUCUUUGGUUAAUGGACAGUUCUUGUUCUGAAGAAUUCUUGGAGAUAAUAUCUAUUUUUUUAAUCAAAAAGUGAGGAUAUUUCUGGUGUAUCUGCUGCAAGUAUCUCCAGGAUUUCAGGUGGAGAGACAGAGAGAUGCAGAGUGUUUGCUCACUCACCAAUCAUGUUGAAAUUGAGCUCGGUGAUGGCGGCGAGGGCGCAUCCGCCGAUGAUUGGGAGGAGGGAGAAGUAGACCGGCGCCGGGAAGUGCUCGCCGAGGAAGAACCUGGAGACGAGCACGCUGAACGCCGGCUCGCCGCUCUUGAUGAUGUGGGUGAACGACACCGCCACCUUCGCCAUGCUCACCGUCGCCGCCACGUGCCCGAUGGUGUGCGCGAUCGCCACCUGCUCGUCCCACAACGAGCAAAAACGAAUCCCCAAAUCCAACGAACGCGUCAGAGAUUCAGAAUAGAACAGAAUCAAGAAGGAGGAGACGAUGGUGUCCAUGGUCAAUGCGAUCUCACCGGAGACAGGGCCUUCCAGAAAUCGAGGUCGGUGGCGGGCGCCUCGGCGAUCCUGGUGGCCCAGGAGGCGAGCAUGAUGGCGGAGCCGGCGGCGAGGGAGAGCGUGGACGUGAGCCACGGGUAAGGGAACGCGUUGAGCACCUUCUUGUUGUAGAUGUUGAAGAUCACGUUCAGCGCCCACCACGUCGCGAAGUAGACCCCGAUCUUGGCCCGCCUCGCCGCCUCCUCCGGCGCCGCGCCCGCCGGUGCAGCCUCCACCGGCCGGGCGCCGUCGGCGGUGGCGGACGGCGGCGGCGGCGCCGGUGACGCGACGCGCGACGCCAGGAAUAACGGGUCCUGCUGCCGGUACAGGGGGCGCGCCGAGAGGGAGAGGGGACGUGGCCCGGCGGCGGCGGCGGCGGCGGCGAAGAGGGGAGGGAGGUGGAGGGGCUUGAAUAAUGCCAUCUUGGGCGCCGUGGCGGUCCCGGCCGUGGAGAGCUUGACGGAGGCGGCGGCGGCGAGCAUAUUGGCGGCGGGAAUGGUGGCGCCGGCUUCUUCAGUUACAGUUACUGUGUUGUGUUGUAGCCGGCCGUCCGUACGUCUAUGGCGGCGAUGGGUUGCGGCCAUAGAGACUGCUCGCAUCGAGUCUUCUUCAAUCCGACUAUAACAAAUUGCUAGCUAGUUCCACGCCCUCCAACGCCCUUUUAGGGAAGGAAGCCUCAAAGGAGAGAGGGCCGCCGAACAAUGUGGUUGAGGACAAUCCAAGGAAAAGGGUGGAGACGAAGAGGGAGCUGGACAAAAGAUAAGUGGUAGAGGGGGGAAUCCUACAGCUAGAAGAACAUCAACCGCGUCAACAGGGAAGGCUGCAAGAAUAGUAGCCAUUCAAGCCAAAGAAAACCGUAGGCACUAACAUAAAAGACCUGACCUAAUCCAUCAAUCAAGGAGCAUGCUAAAAGGAGAUCUAGAGAGAGGGAGAGGCACUGGCAAAUCCUAAUUGAUGGAUCAGAGCCAAGCAUGUUAUGGCAAGGAGCUCGUUGGCUAGCUCAAGGGCGCCUCAAAGAGGAGGGAGGAGGAGGGAUGGGGAUGGAAGAAGGUGUUGGGCAAGGUCACCAGUCCCGCGGGGGAGGGGGGGUCCGAGGCCAGAGCCUGCCACCGGUGCCACGGAUUCGACCAGAUCCAGCCGCUAGGAGCGCAGAUCUGCACGCCACCAGUCGGGGGCGCCGGGCCUAGCCUUCAUCGCCGGCUGAGGGGGGGGGGACUAUAAGGAGCCAAGCCGAGGCCCAUCACCGCCCUCACGGACGACACGUCGCCAGACAGCACCGCUGGCGACUGCCCUCCGCGGCCAAGGAGCACGACCGCUCCUUCGCCGGGAACAGCACACCGUCGCCGGGACACACGCCGCCGCACCGCCUCCACCACGCCCCAUCGCGCCACCGCGCACGGCAUUGUUGCUCUCCUCCGGCCAGGUCCAAAAGCAGGGUGCAUUUUUCAUGUUAUGAUACAUGGUUCCUGUUUUCAGGCAAAAACCACCAAGAAGAUUGUGCUGAAGCUGCAAUGCCAAAGCUGCAAGCAUUACUCCCAGCACCCCAUCAAGGUAUUUUUGCAAUGUGAAGAUUCAAGCUGAAAAUUCUCAUGAAUCAGUAUCUUUUUAGAUGUGUUGGAUGCUCACUUACAUAAUUAUUCUGUGCAGAGGUGCAAGCAUUUUAAAAUUGGUGGAGACAAGAAGGGCAAGGGAACGUCUCUUUUCUAAACUACCUACUGGAUACUGAAGUUGUGGGUCUACUGUGCUUCAUACUUCAAUGUUAUUAGGAGCUUAAUUUAAGCAGACCAUAUCAUGUAUUCAAGUACUCUAGCAAGGAUUGGCUUUCUGCUGAAUCAAGUUUUGUUGCUUAAUGCUCAUUGAAUCCAAUGUGAUGCAUGUGUUUAUGUUGCACUGCAAUUUUGUCUUAUGGCAGUUUUAUCUCCCUAAGUACUCGGUGUCUGUUUUUCGUUAUCUUACCUAUGUUUGCAAUCCUAGAGCGACCCACUUAAACGAAUUCCUGUGACAUGAAUCCCUGAGAGGUUAGUCUGAUGAACUUCCAUUUUUCAGACUGAAUUUCGUAUAUGGUUAACUAUACUAUGUUUUGUUCAAUAUCUUCGUCACGAGAUAGAAGGUAUGGAAUACCAUGGAUGGAGGUGAAUUGUAAGAUAGGCCUUGGUCUUGUGAUUGUUAUCUUAGAAGGUCGAUACUAAUGUUUGGUCUUGUGGCGUUAGUGAAACUGUUUUCGUAGCAAUGUUUGGUCUUGUGAUGUUAGUGAACUGUUUUCGUAGCAUUGUAGUACUUGUUCCAUUCUUCAUGCAUGAUUUGGAUAGGUUAUUGACAAUUGUUUAUAGUAAUGAAUUAAAUAUUACACUCCUAAAUCUAUUAUAUAAUUAAAGGAAUAGAAAAAGGAGCCUCCACGUUUACUCUCAUGGCUUAGAAAUUCUCACAUUAAUCGGAGAAAAAAAAACAGAGUCCAUAUAGAAAUACAAUUUAGAAAUAGCUGAAAUUCGGAAUUAAAAAAUAAGGAAUAUUAGAAGAGAAGACUAGAGUUCAUAUAGAAAUACACUUUAGAAAUAGUUGAAAUUUGGAAUUAAAAAAUAAGGAAUAUUAGAAGAGGAGUAUAGAGUCCAUAUAGAAAUACAAUUAGGAAAUAAUAGAAAUUCGGAAUUAAAAAUAAAGAAUAUUAGAAGUAGAGUAUAGAGUCCAUAUAGAAAUACAAUUAGGAAAUAAUAGAAAUUCUGAAUUAAAAAUAAGGAAUAUUAGAAGUAGAGUAUAAAGUCCAUAUAGAAAUACAAUUAAGAAAAAAUAGAAAUUCAGAAUUAAAAAAUAAGAAAUAUUAGAAGUAGAGUAUAGAGUCCAUAUAGGAAUUUAAAACUAACUAAAAUUCGGAAAAAAAAAAAGGAGCCUCUACGUUCGCUCCCAUGGCCUAGAAAUUCUCACAUUAAUCGAAGAAAAAGAAAAAAACAGACUUCAUAUAGAAAUACAAUUUAGAAAUAGCUGAAAUUCAGAAUUAAAAAUAAGGAAUAUUAGAAGAGGAGACUAGAGUCCAUAUAGAAAUACACUUUAGAAAUAGCUGAAAUUCGGAAUUAAAAAAAGAAAUAUUAGAAUAGGAGUAUAGAGUCCAUAUAGAAAUACAAUUAGGAAAUAGUUGAAAUUCGGAAUUAAAAAUAAGGAAUAUUAGAAGUAGAGUAUAGAGUCCAUAUAGAAAUACAAUUAGGAAAUAAUUGAAAUUCGGAAUUAAAAAUAAGGAAUAUUAGAAGUAGAGUAUAGAGUCCAUAUAGAAAUACAAUUAGGAAAUAACUGAAAUUCGGAAUUAAAAAUAAGGAAUAUUAGAAGUAGAGCAUAGAGUCCAUAUAGAAAUACAAUUAAGAAAAAAAAUAGAAAUUUGGAAUUAAAAAUAAGAAAUAUUAGAAGUAGAGUAUAGAGUCCAUAUAGGAAUUUCAAACUAACUAAAAUUCGGAAAAAAAAAGGAGCCUUCACGUUCGCUCUCAUGAUCUAGAAAUUCUCACAUUAAUCGGAGAAAAAGAAAAAGCAGAAUCUAUAUAGAAAUACAAUUUAGAAAUAGCUGAAAUUCGGAAUUAAAAAAAAGAAAUAUUAAAAGAGGAGACUAGAGUCCAUAUAGAAAUACAAUUUAGAAAUAGUUGAAAUUCGGAAUUAAAAAAUAAGGAAUAUUAGAAGUGGAGACUAGAGUCCAUAUAGAAAUACAAUUAGGAAAUAACUGAAAUUCGAAAUUAAAAAUAAGGAAUAUUAGAAGUAGAGUAUAGAGUACAUAUAGAAAUACAAUUAGGAAAUAACCGAAAUUUGGAAUUAAAAAUAAGAAAUAUUAGAAGUAGAGUAUAGAGUCCUUAUAGAAAUACAAUUAAGAAAAAAAAUAGAAAUUUGGAAUUAAAAAAUAAGGAAUAUUAGAAGUAGAAUAUAGAGUUCAUAUUGGAAUUUAAAACCAACUAAAAUUCGGAAUAAAAAGGAGCUUUCAGGUUCGCUCUCAUGGCAUAGAAAUUCUCACAUUAAUCAGAGAAAAAGAAAAAACAGAGUCCAUAUAGAAAUACAAUUUAGAAAUAGCUGAAAUUCAGAAUUAAAAAAUAAGAAAUAUUAGAAGAGGAGACUAGAGUAGUUAUUACACAUUAGUAGUUUUGAAAAGUUAUUGCAAAAUUUAAAAUUAUGUUGUCAUUGUAAUAUAUUAUAAUAAUAUAAUGAGAAAACAUAUAUGCUAUUAUAUGAGAGAAAAUAUAAUGAUGCUAGCCGCGCAAUAUGCGCAGGCCACCAUGCUAGUUAUUAUAAACCGAAUAAAUAGCUUAGAACGAGCCAGGCAAUGCUGAUGUAGAAAAUUUCUAGUUUGAGAACAGUGGUAUGCAUAUCCCGAAGUUCAUAAGCUGAAAAGAUUGCACCCUAAAUCUAAUGUAUUGUAAUUUUCCUGUACUGAAAAUGCUGAGGGGGGGACUACAAGGAGCCAAGCCGAGGCCCGUCACCGCCCUCACGGACGACACGUCGCCAGACAGCACCGCUAGCGACUGCCCUCCGCGGCCAAGGAGCACGACCGCUCCUUCGCCGGGAACAGCACACCGUCGCCGGGACACACGCCGCCGCACCGCCUCCACCACGCCCCAUCGCGCCACCGCGCACGGCAUUGUUGCUCUCCUCCGGCCAGGUCCAAAAGCAGGGUGCCAGAUCCAGCCACGGGGGCGCCAGAUCCGAAGCUUCGCGCCGCGCUGAUGUCAGCCCCCACCUAUCACGCGCCGCGUCAUCAUCCUCACGCUGAGCCGUCGCGUCGCCGAGGAAUGGCCUCGCCGCCGCCCUCACAGUUGGCCGCGCGGAACUCCGGUGGCGCGCUCCGGCGGCGGCGAGGGGGGAGAGGAAGGGAGGGGGCGGCGGGGGCUAGGGUUCACCCCCUGUGCCGCUCGCGUGAGAGGGCGACGCGGGGGUCGUGCCGGCUUCGUACUCUUCCAAUUGAGGAUAAGAUGAACUGAUGUGAUAAGUAGUACGGGAUUGUACUUAUUUUAAAACAAAAUUUGAAUAUAAAAUCAUACUUAUUUUAGAAGGAUUGUAGUAUUUGGACUUGGGAGUAAUUUUACUGUUCUUGGUAUUAGAAGGUACCAUUUCUUUUAUAUAAAACUUGGUAUUUCUCGAGGUAUAAAAAACAUACGGUUAGGACCGUAACGAACUGUGUUAGCUGUAGGUUUGCAUCUGUUCCCAAGGUGAUUUAAUUUGAGCAAUUGCAAAUAGCUUUUUCUUCUUUCACUCGGCAGCUGAAUCUUGCUUGGUGGAGUACUCGGGCCGUGCACGUUCAUCCACGGGUUUGAUUUGACAUUGGUCAUGAGCGCGUUUUAGUGGACAAAGUGGUGGUUAGCAUAGUGAAAUUGUCAACGCGAGAAGCAGAAACCAAUUGCUGUUGCUGUCGCCGGUACCAAUACUGUAUGGUGUUCCUGUUCCAUCAGAAUUCAGUCGAGUGCAUGGCAGCUCAUUCUUGUGGCCCAUCACACAAUUAAUCUCCGACGAUGUACUGUACGUAGUGGAGCAUUUAGAUUAGUAAUUCUCGAAUACAUUUUCGUAAGGGUUAAGUGGGCAUAUGUAACGUGUUCACUCCUUGUUACUAUCUCUGUUUUCAGAUGAGUGACAUCAUCAGCAUAGUCCGCAAUACACAUUUUAUCAUCAUAACAAUUUUACACUAUAAAAAACGAUUUUUCGUGAUGUUACCCUAUAUUUUACGCUGGCGUCCAUAUGCAAAAACCGCCAAAAAAACAUAACAAUAGGUGGGGGGCUACGGACCACCAGCAGAAACCAAUUUUUGCUGAUAACCACGCUAAGAGAAAUGCCUAAAAAAACUACUCUAUUUUUCGAGACGAACCUCUUAAGUGUCUGCCAGUUUUUCGAGGCGGACCUCUUAAGUGUCCGCCAGCGAAAAAUCUCAUUUUCACCGGCAGUAGGUAAGGAGGACCACUGCGAAAAAUGUUUUGGGCGAAUAUAUAAAUCUACUGUCCCCCACCCCCACCGCUCCCUUCUCCCUUCCCCCACUGCGCGGCCCCUCCGCCGCCUCUCUUCCUUCUCUCUCGGUUUCACCUUCUUCCUCCCUUCUCCACCGCCGCCGGCUGCCGUCGCCUCUACCGCCUCUCCGCGGUGGUGGGGCGUGGCCUCCUCCUCUCCACCGCUAGCCGCCAUAAGCUCGGGGCCGGAUUCGGCCGCUGCGACGAUGGUGGAGGCCGGAUCUGCCGCCGCGACGACGGGGGAGGCUAGAUCCGUCGCCGCGACCGCCGCAGGGCCACUAGUCUCUAAAGACUAAACUAUAUAUUUAAAAAAACAUUACCAAUAUAACUUUAUGAAAGAGAGUUUCUCAUAAAAAAAAAUAUACCAAUAUAACUUUUCAUAUUUUAAAUAUUUUUACGUCUAUUAAAUUUUUAAGGUUUCAAGAUUUGACUGCACUUACAGGAGAUACUACUAUACAAGAAUCAACGAGAAACGAAUUUUUAAGUUGCGAUAAACUGGUAGUAGUAAGAUUUUGUGAACAAGGAUAAUGCAUAUCUGUGUAAAAAAAAUAUAUAGUGCAAAUCACAUAUACAUUGAAAAUCUAGAAACUAUUGUCACGAGUAAAAUUUUUACCAACCAAACGGCCACAAUGUCGCGCAGGGCUUAUCCGGGGCACUACUGCCCAUGGGCUGAAAGUGCGGCCACAAGCCCACAAUAUCUUGCGGGGCUUAGCCGGGGCACCACGGCCCAUGGGCUCUAUCUCCCUCACCAGUAAAGCCCUAGCCUCCAAGACCGCACCCGUAUAAAGCUGCAGACCUCUCUCUCCUUCUCCUCCCCCGCCACCGCCGCUCGCCUCCGAAACCCUAGCCGCCCCCUCCCCGCGGCCGCGAAAAUGGUACGCUUCUCCCUCCUCCUCCUCCUCCUCCUCCCCUCCGCCGCACGACGGGAAGAUCGCACGCGUGCUUGUCCUCGUGCCAGUCCACGGCUCCGCGCGCCGUCUUUCUCAUGGUGUUUCACAAUUUGUAGGAUGCGUUCUUUAUUCAUGUUGAUCUGCCGUAGAUGGGGGGAUCUUGAGCCGGAGGAGAGGAGUAGCUAGUUUCUUUGAUUAUGCGUUUUGGGGUCUAGCGGAUUUUAACAUGAGAUGGUUUCUCUUUAGCGACAUUUUUUUUGUUCAUGUUGAUGUCCACGGUGAUUGUUCUAGUUAUGUCAUUUUUAUCUUCAAGACUUCAAUGCUUUGAAUCGUGGGUAUAGACCAGAUUAUUGUCGUGAAGAUCGACGUAUUUUCCGAGCUGACCCUCUGCAUGCUGAAAAUUUUGUAGUGGGUUAUAUCUAGAUUAUAUGUGUAUUGUUGUCAUUUAAUUAGCACUUAAACUUCUGUAGUAUGAACAUUUUCAUCAUUUUCCUGUGAGGACAUGGGAUGAGUUCCUUUUUUUUUCUCUUGUUCUAAAAUUGUUCGGUAAUCUUGUCUGGCUUUGACUGAUGGGCUCCGAUGAUGGCAUGAAAUCUUUGAGACCUGACAUUCUUGUGAUGACAAACAUAAGCAUAUUUCCUGAGACCCAAUUGAGGUUUUAACCAUUGGUUUGCUGAAUGUGUCUUCACUGUUGAAAAAUUUGUACACACAUUUGCUUCAAAUUAUGCACAUUUGAUUAUUGUUUAUAGGCCUGCGAUGUCCAUUCCACAUUCAGUAUUUGUUAAGCUGAGUGCUUUUGUUUCAAAUUUGUUUUGUAUAGGUGAACGUUCCCAAGACCAAGAAGACCUACUGCAAGAACAAGGAGUGCAGGAAGCACACCCUUCACAAGGUCACUCAGUACAAGAAGGGUAAGGACAGCCUGUCUGCCCAGGGAAAGCGCCGUUAUGACCGAAAGCAGUCAGGAUAUGGUGGUCAGACCAAGCCUGUUUUCCACAAGAAGGUACUGUGACAGUUUAUAUAUGAUUAUGCAGUGUUGUGUGUGACUCUCUGUUCAUUAGAAACGUACGGUGUCAUGAUUGAUGUAGCAGUGAUAUGUGUCUGUACAAUGCAUGUGGCAAUAACCAUCACGUAGUUUUAAUUGCAUGUGGCUUUCAGCUGUGCAUUUUUCAUGUUAUGAUACAUGGUUCCUGUUUUCAGGCAAAAACCACCAAGAAGAUCGUGCUGAAGCUGCAAUGCCAAAGCUGCAAGCAUUACUCCCAGCACCCCAUCAAGGUAUUAUUUCAUUGUCAAGACUCCAGAGCUGAAAAUUAUCAUGAAUCAUUAUUUUGCUGGAUGUGUUGGAUGCUCACUUGCAUAAUUGUUCUCUGCAGAGGUGCAAGCAUUUCGAGAUUGGUGGAGACAAGAAGGGCAAGGGAACAUCUCUUUUCUAAAUUGCUUGCUACCUACUGGAUACUAUAGUUGUUGGUCUACUGUGCUUCAAUAUUUCAAUGUUAUUAGGAGCUUAUUUAAGCAGACCAUAUCAAUGUAUUCAAGUAUCAUCGUCUGACAUUUACUCUAGCAAGGAUUGGCUUUCUGCUGAAUCAAGUUUUGUUGCUUAAUGCUCGUUGAAUCCAAUGUGAUGCAUGUGUUUAUAUUUUGCUGCAAUUUUAUCUUACGACAGUUCUAUUUACCUUAGUCCUCAGUAUCCCUUUUCUUUUUUUGUUAUCUUACCUGCUGUCUUUUGAUUAGUAGUUAGCAAACAUAGAGCGACCCACUUUAAUUACUUCCCGUGACAUGAAUAUGACCUCGAGAGAUUAGUCUAGUGAACUUCCUUUUUCAGACUGAAUGUUGUAUUGUUAACUGUACUGGCGUUUGGUCAGUAUCUUUCGAAAGAGAUGGAAUGUAGGGACGUAAUUUUAUUGCAAGAUAAUUCAUUUGUUCUUGUGGUUCAGUAUCUUGGAAGGUCUUGUGAUAUUAGUGAAUUCUUUUCGUAGCAUUGCAGUACUUGCUCUGUCCUUAAUGCAUGAUUCGAUAGGCUACGCAAUCCCGUUUGUAGUAAUGAAUUAAAAAUUAUAUAUUAUUAUGAACCGAAUAAAUAGCUUCGAACAAGCUAAGCAAUGCUGAUGUAGAAAAAAAUUAGUUUGAGAACCGUGGUAUAUUCCAAAGUUUGUAACUGUCAUAAGCUGCCCCCCAACCCACCCAAAAAAACCGGAUGGCAGCAAUCACAACUUAGCAUUGCUGCUCAUGGCAAUGUUCAUAUACUAUGAGUGCGGGUUAGUUCAGACUACAGACACGUGUGGUAAUUGUUUUUUUUUUAGUUUUUUAUUUUGUUUGUUAGGUGGUGUUUGGAUCCAGGGAUUAAACUUUAGUCUUUGUUUUAGAUACUAAUUUAGAGUAUUAAAUAUUGACUACUUACAAAACUAAUUACAUAAAUGAGAGCUAAUUCGUGAGACAAAUUUUUUAGGGUUAAUUGGAUAGAUGCCAUUAUAAAAUCUUUAGUUUUGAAAUAUACCGUUACUAUUAAACUAUUUAGAAACAUGCCAUUACAACUUUUUCAGGUAUUGGAAAUAUGUCACUGUACAACCUUUGGAUGUGUUUAACAAAAAUUUUAGACCAAAUCGCUCUCGUCUUCUCCUUUGUCUCCACCCUCUCCUGUUCAUCUUCUUUCUUCCAUUUCUUUCCCUUUUGGAUCUGGUAUCUUAGUAUUCUUCCUCCACAUCUCCUUUCUCGGCCAGCAACGGCGGUGUUGUGCUGCACCAUCUAGUUUCCCUUCUUCCCUUCGCUGGCCGCAUCACCACCUUCUCAGUUUCCAGCCUCCCCGAGGUCUACUGCAACAACCAAGACGCGGAGCAUGUCGUUCUUGAAUGUCCAGCACCCGGACGCCCAAGGACGUGCCCCUGUCGGUGCAGCUGGAGUCAUUCGCCUACAGCGGCUUCACCAUGGCGUGGUCCACGUCCACCGAUUACGUGCUCGUCGACGAGCGCGCCUUGUGCACAGGGCCGGUCCUGAGUUUUCAAGCUCUAGGACAAAAACUUACGUGGAGGCCCCUAUAUAUAUACAUAAACUAAUAUAUAUAUUUAUAGUCUUAUAAACAUGUAAUAUUUAAUAUUUGAUAUGAUAAAAUUAUCUAUAUAUAAUAUUUUAAAACUUUCAAAGAGAAAUAAUAUAAUCAUAAACACUUACUUGGCACUUUCAAAAGUUUCUUCUAAAAUUUCAAUGAAAUCAUCCGAACAUUUUUUCCGUUUUCUUUUUUCGCUACCGGAUACAUAUUUUCUUGACAAUAUGAUUAAUGUUGUGCUAAAAAAUAAUCAUUAAUUAUUAAGUAGUACAAGCUAAUAAUUUUUGAUCUAUAAAGAGGAAAAAGAAAGAUAGAGAAAAUUACCUUAGACGACGACUGCGAGGCGCGAGCAGCCGAUCGGCCGAUGAGGGCGCGCCGCCGGGCGGUUGGCCUCCAAUCGACGUAGUCAGCCAGUCAUGCAGAGCCGCUGCGAUUUGCUGCCGAUUGCCGUGUUUGCGUUGCGGUUUGCCGCCGUUUACCGUUUGCAACGCGACGCGAGGCGUGAUCGAGGCGACGGGAACGGAGUCAGAUCGCUUCACUUUUCCUUCGCUCCUCUUCGUCUUCUGUCUUCGAUACCAUACAUGAUUCAGGACUGAGAGCGAUGCUGACCCUGGGGGCGUCGUGGGCCAUGGCCCAUCCGCCAUGGGGCCCCCUAAAUUUUGGGGGACUCGGGCGUGCGCACGGGCUGACCCCCCCUAGGGCCGGCCCUGCUUGUGCAUGAUCCUGACAAAGUGACUAUUACUGUGUACUCCUAAUCUCACAGCAGCAAGAAACGGGAGGAAGAAGAUGAACAACAGAACAGGAGAGAUGGGGGAGGCAAAGGAAGAAGACGGGGGCAAUUUGGUCCAAAAUUUUUGUUAGACAUAUCCAAGGGGUAUGUAAUGGUAUAUUUCCAAUACCUGAAAAAUUAUAAUGGCAUACCUCCAAAUAGUUGAGUAGUAAUGGUAUAUUUCAAAACUGAAGAAUUUACAAUGGCAUGUAUCCAAUUAACCCAAUUUUUUAAGCCUAAUUAAUUCAUAAUUAUAGAAUGUUUAUUGUAUCAUCACAUAGGCUAAUCAUGGAUUUAUUAGGCUCAAUAGAUUCGUCUCGCGAAUAAGUCCAAGAUUAUGGAUAGGUUUUGUUAAUAGUCUAUAUUUAAUACUUCUAAUUAGUGUCCAAACAUCCAAUUUGGAAGGGACUAAAAAAUUUUAGUCCAUUCCAAACACCUCCUUAUUAUUUUUAUCAAAUAGCCACGUAAGCGUCAUGUCAAUAGCACGUGGGACGAAGACCCCUAGUCAAAGGCGUCAUGUCAGCUAAAACCGGAGACAUUGCUACCGAGAGAGCUCGUUUGCACAGUUUGAAGAAGGCGUCAUGUCAGCCAAAACCAGAAAUAUUAUUACCGAGGGACCUCGUUUGCACACUUUGAAGGAUGGAUUGUAUAUGGUUUUCGGAUAAGGAUGAAAAACAGACUAAGCGACAAAGUAAGAGACCUAAAGUGAACUUAUUUGAGGGAUAAAGUCCACUUGGACUUCCUUAACUAUAAGGGAAUAAGUUCACCUGACGUCCCUUAACUUUAAGUCGAGUUCGUCUGAGGUUCCUAAUCCACAAUAAAAUCUCUACCUCUCAACUAAUCAUAAACCGUGCGAAAAAGAUCACAAAACAGACGGAGCGAUGAAGUAAGGGACCUAAAGUGAACUCAUUUUGAGGGAUAAAGUCACUUCAUAACUAUAAGGGAAUAUAAGUUCACCUGACGGCCCUCAACUUUAUGUUGAGUUUGUCUGAGGUCCCUAAUCCGCGAUAGCAAAAAUCUCUACCCCUCAACUAUCAUAAACCGUGCAAAAAAGAUCCCAAGACAAUAUUGAUCCAUUUUCUCCGGUUUUGCUGACGUGGCAUACGGUGGGACCCACAUGUCAGCGUCCUGUCUUCUCCUCUUUUCUUUUUUCUUUUUUUUCUUCUUGUCUUUUCUUUCUUCUCUCUUCUCCUCUUCCCUUCUUCUCCUAGCCUGAGAGGCCGGCGGGCGGGCGAGCAGGCGACGGCAGGCGGUGGCGGCGGUGUGCGGAGCAGGCAAGGGGUAACGGGUGGCGGGCGAGCGACGGCGCCUCAGAGAGGGUGUGGUGUGGGCGUCGCUGUGCUGUGGCGGGCGGAGCGGGGUGGCGGCGGUGGGGUGCAGAGGACGACGACAUAUGGAAGUGAUGGCGGACGCUGUAGGGGACGAUGGCGAGGAGGACGAAGUAGGCCGGGAGAGGAUGACUCCGACGCGCUUGGGGUUUCACCAGGAGACCUCGCCUUCACCGUCUUCGUGCCCUCACCAGAGUCGUUCCACCGCGUCCUCAGGCUGCGGCGUCCCAAUAACAACGUUGCCGAUGGGUGGGUCUCACAUUUUCCUUCUAUUUCACUUACAUGUGGGACUCACAUAUUAUUUUAUUCCUAUUUUGCUAACUAGGAUGCCACGUUAGUGAAACCAAGACAUCUAUACUGCCAUAGGACAUAAAUUGAACGGUUUUGUAUAUUUGGGGUGAAGAUUUCUGGUAUUGAGGAUAAGGGAUGGCAAACAAACUCGGUGUAAAGUUGAGGGACAUCAGAUGAACUUAUUCCAACUAUAAGGCAACGCAUCACGGUGCAUGGCCCAUGGGCUGCGCAUUCUGGCCCACAAAGCAGCACACGCACCAGUAAACCCUAGCCUCCAGGAGCUCACCCGUAUAAAGUCGCAGACCUUCUCCUUCCCCUCCCCGCCGCCACUCGCCGCAGCGUGUCGACCAGACAAGGCAGCGCCUCCGAAACCCUAGCUCCCCGCCUUCCCCUCCGCGGCCGCCAAAAUGGUACGCUUCUUCCUCCUCCCCGUCCGCCUCUCUCCGCCGCACGACGGCAAGAUCAUGCGCUCGUGUGUCCUCGUGCCAGUCCACGGCACCCUGCUCUGGUCGAUUUGUAGGGGGAUUGCGUUCUUUAUUCAUGUUGAUCUGCUGUAGAUGGGGGCGAUCUUGAGCCGGAGGAGUAGCUAGUUUCUUAUUGAUGCGGUUUCGGGGUUUUUAGAGAUUUAACACGGUUUCGCGGUUUCUCUUUAGCGAUUUCUUUUUUCAUGUUGAUAUAAUGAUAUCCACGGUGGUUGUUCUAGUUAUGUCAUUUUUAUCUUGAGUGCUUUGUGUGAUUGUUUUUCAAUUGUGGGUAGAGACCAGAUUAUUGUCGUUAAGAUGCAUGCUCUGAAACGCGGAAUUUUUUUGUAAUGGGUUAUAUCUAGAUUAUGUGUAUUGCUGUCAUUCAAUAGUCUUUUCUUAAUACAAGGCGCAACCGUCUUUUCUUCAAGUACCAGUAUACAAGGCGGCAACUGCUCAACUCCGUACUUGGUGCAUGCAAGCAUUGAAUGGAUGGUUGCAUGAGCUCAUGAUAUUCGGUUCAUUAGUUUAAAGGCAAAGGAUCCACCACUCGGAUGCUUGCAUGCACGCGCAAAAACUGCAGGACACGGGUGCAUGCUGCUUUGGCACUAGAUGCGAUGAACUGAUCAAAGCGUCACGCAUUGGAACGCGCUGGAAUAAAUCGGUACGAUGGGUAGUUAUAGGUUUUCUUGUUCUCCGAGUCCAAACAAGUUAUGCCUUGUAUUAAGGAAUGGAGGGAGUAGCAAUUAACUUCUGGAGUAAACAUUUUUCAUCAUCUUCCUUGAGGACGUGGGAUGAAUUCUUUUUUUUAUCUUGUGCGAAAAUUGUUUGGUAAUCAUGUCUGGUUUUGACUGAUGGGCUCCGAUGAUGGCAUGAAAUCUUUGAGACCUGACAUUCUUGUGAUGACAAACAUAAGCAUAUUUCCUGAGGACCCAAUUGAGGUUUUAACCAUUGGUCUGCUGAAUUUGUCUUUGCUGUCGAAAAAUAUCGAUUCACAUGUGCUUCUGAUUAUGCACAUUUGAUUGUGUUGUUUAUAGGCCUGCUAUGUGCUUUCCAAUAACCAGUAUUUGUUAAAUUUGUUUCAUAUUUCUUAUGUAUAGGUGAACGUUCCCAAGACCAAGAAGACCUACUGCAAGAACAAGGAGUGCAGGAAGCACACCCUUCACAAGGUCACUCAGUACAAGAAGGGUAAGGACAGCCUGUCUGCCCAGGGAAAGCGCCGUUAUGACCGUAAGCAGUCAGGAUAUGGUGGUCAGACCAAGCCUGUUUUCCACAAGAAGGUAUUGUGACAGUUUAUAUGUGAUUACGCAGUGCUGUGUGUGAUUGUCUCUCUUCAUUAGAAACAUAUGGUGUCAUGAUUUGUGUCUGUUCAAUGCAAACAUGUGGCAAUAACCAUCAUGUAGUUUUAAUGUAUCUGACUUUCAGCUGUGCAUUUUUCAUGUUAUGAUACAUGGUUCCUGUUUUCAGGCAAAAACCACCAAGAAGAUUGUGCUGAAGCUGCAAUGCCAAAGCUGCAAGCAUUACUCCCAGCACCCCAUCAAGGUAUUAUUUCAUUGUCAAGACUCAAGCUGAAAAUUGUCAUGAAUCAAUCAGUAUCUUUUUAGAUGUGUUGGGUGCUAUCUUACAUUAUUAUUCUUUACAGAGGUGCAAGCAUUUCGAGAUUGGUGGAGACAAGAAGGGCAAGGGAACAUCUCUUUUCUAAACUACCUACUGGAUACUGAAGUUGUGGGUCUAUUGUGCUUCAUACUUCAAUGUUAUUAGGAACUUAAUUUAAGCAGACCAUAUCAUGUAUUCAAGUAUCAUCGUCUGACAUUUACUCUAGCAAGGAUUGGCUUUCUGCUGAAUCAAGUUUUCUUGCUUAAUGCUCGUCGAAUCCAAUGUGAUGCAUGUCUUUAGAUGGCACUGCAAUUGUGACUUUUGUCUUAUGGCAGUUUUAUCUCCCUAAGUCCUCAGUGUCUGUUUUUCGUUAUCUUACCCGAGUUUGCAAUCCUAGAGCGACCCACGUAAACGAAUUCCUGUGACAUGAAUCCCUGAGAGGCUAGUCUGAUGAACUUCCGUUUUUCAGAUCGAAUUUCGUAUAUGGUUAACUAUACUAUGUUUUGUUCAAUAUCUUCGUAACGAGAUGGAAGGUAUGGAAUACUAUGGAUGGAGGUGAAUUGAAAGAUAGGCCUUGGUCUUGUGAUUGUUAUCUUAGAAGGUCGAUACUAAUGUUUGGUCUUGUGGCGUUAGUGAAACUGUUUUCGUAGCAAUGUUUGGUCUUGUGAUGUUAUUGAACUGUUUUCGUAGCAUUGUAUUACUUGUUCCAUUCUUCAUGCAUGAUUUGGAUAGGUUAUUGACAAUUGUUUAUAGUAAUGAAUUAAAUAUUACACUCCUAAAUUAUUAUAAACCGAAUAAAUAGCUUAAAGCGAGCCAGGCAAUGCUGAUGUAGAAAAUUUCUAGUUUGAGAACCGUGGUAUGCAUAUCCCGAAGUUCAUAAGCUGAAAAGAUUGCACCCUAAAUCUAAUGUAUUGUAGUUUUCCUGUACUGAAAAUGCUGUUGGAUCGGACAGCCGUGGUGAUUGGUUGCGUUCAUUUUCAAGUUGUAGCCAAGUUAAAUAAAGUAUAGAAGGAUAUGCAAGUAGCAACAUCGGAGGAGUGCCAUCGCAGUGAUCCUCCCAAAAAGCACGAAAGAAACAUCUUCAUUGGAACCUAAGCAGCUCUGGCCUUUUGAGCCCAGAAAAGCUAUCCUUGAUUCAAGCACAAACCGUCAUUUGGUUAUAUGCUUUCUCCAAAUACUAGCAUGAGUAAAUUGCAUUGGCGGUACACGAACUUGCUAGGUGGAAGCAAUCUAGUACAUAAACUUAUAAAACGCUCAUUUUGAUACACGAACUUGUUAGGUGCAUGUGAAUCAAGGCCAAAAGAAAAAACAAAGCUAAUCUUAUUUUAGUGUUAAUUAGGAUACUACAUAAACACAUGUGUGAGAAAAAUGCUAAGUACAUAUACAUUUGUUCAAUAAAAAGGGGUUAAUAAGGCCUAAAGAUUGUAUGGAGAAAGACACAAAAAUACUGAGAAAUAGUGCAAGGGGUAGAACAAAGAAUAAUAAAGCACAAAUGCAUGUCUCAUGUCCACCUCCAUAUGCACAUCUCGUCCUAAUCAGUGUAUAACUUAGUAAAAUUGAUUAUGAUGUGUCAUUUUGACCUUGUUUCACAUGCAUCGAACAAAUUCAUGUACCGAAACAAGUCUUUUACAAGUUCGUGUAGUAAAGUGCAUCCAUCUGGCAAUUUACUCUACUAGCAUUUGAAGCUAAAAGGCUUUGGCCUUUUGGAGCCCAGAAAAGCUGUUCUUGAUUCCAGAACAGAUCGUCAUUUUUGGGGUAUAUGCCUCCUCCAGAAUCCUAAAAUUCUCAUUUCAUGUAAGGAAAAUCGCAAGUGUCCAACGCUGAAUCCAUCCCAGAGAUCUCAGUGAGCAAAUUGCACAGCGCCAGUUGGGACUAUUCAAGGAUUUUCAGGGCCAUGCCCUGUACCCAUCAUCCAUCACCCAGCAACAAAACAAGCCGGACCGUAGUGUGUCAAGCAUGCACUGCUUCUGCUCUCCGAUCUAACCGGUAGCCCCCAACUCAUUCUGAACCACACCUUGUGUUUUGGACCACAUCACAAAAUUCAGAAGCAGCAGCAGCAGCAGCAAAGGGUCAAGCAAAAAAUCUAACAGCUUUAUUUAGGCAGAUCCACCUCUCUACAUCAUCAUAGUCAUAGUACAAGAACUCGACGAAUUCAGAAGAAACAUUGGCAGCUACACCUAGAGAAAGAAAAAUGAAAAGAAAAGAAGAUCUAAUAUAUUACAAGGGAUCCUUGGAUAUAUGCUCAUAGCAUUGUUACAUCCCGAGCACCGAGUCGCGACUUGUGGCGAAAACGGGUGCCAUUUCCAUGCUUAUGCCAUUACUGCUUCGCCUGAAAAAAUGAGAUGUUUUUUUUUUGGUUAGAGAUUCAGACUUAUGUUCAUGAAUUGGCUCUUUUGUGAAAAAUGUGAUUUGGUAAAACAUGUGCGGAAAAUCUACCUGAGAGUAGAUGAAAGUUCCGAGAAUCGCAAUGGCGGCUCCGAGGGCGUUGAUGGGCUGGACCGGCGUGUGGAAGAUGAUGAUGGAGGCGACAAUGACGGAGAUCCGCUUCAUGGUGUUGCCGAUGCUGAAUGUCAGUGGUGAGAUCUCGUCCAAUGACAUGUAGGACACUUGGUUGUACAAGUGGUAGAACACACUCUGCGCCGCCACCCACCUACAAAACCACAGAGAAAUCCAUGGCCACAUGAAUCAGCUGGAUUAUCACACAAAAAUAUCAUCAAAUCUUUUGAUACUUCUUAUUUCUCUUUCAGAAUGAACUGAAGAAGAUAUUGCCGCUUAGGAGGAAAUGAUAGUGAUAGGACGAUCCUAUAUCUAUAUUAAUUGAUAAUGGUUCUUUUUGUAUAGAAUACUUGAGUGAUGUUACUGAAAGUACAAAGUGUUGCAUGCUGAAACUGUUUGAAAGCUUAGGUCAAGCACUUAUCACUAGAAAUUUUUUGCCCAAUUGAUACCCAAAAAUCUCAACUGACGUGAUGGUUGUGACAGUGAAACGGUGAGAAGUGGUACAAAGAAAAGCAUGUGAGGCUCACCAGACGAAGUUUGGACCGAUCUCGGCGACGGCUUUUUGCCAGCCGGCAGCCCACACCUUGGGCCCCUCCAUGGCGAAGGCGAAAGGGAGGAGGAUGACCAGCGAGAGCAUGGAGAGGCAGGCGUAGUAGUUCAUCCCGCUCACCGACUUGCCCUUCAUCCCCUUCUUGGAGAAUAUGUUCCGGAACACGAAUGCCAGGUUCGAGAUCAUCGCCCCCAUGAAUCCUGCAUCGAAUUUUCAGCAAUACACGAUGAACAGAUUGAUGUGAUGUGUCAGGUUUAUGAACAAAUUGUGCACUUUUUCGUGGCUGGUGUAUAUUUCUUUAUCUGACAUAAGAAAACAUAUCUUUGGUUAAUGGACAGUUCUUGUUCUGAAGAAUUCUUGGAGAUAAUAUCUAUUUUUUUAAUCAAAAAGUGAGGAUAUUUCUGGUGUAUCUGCUGCAAGUAUCUCCAGGAUUUCAGGUGGAGAGACAGAGAGAUGCAGAGUGUUUGCUCACUCACCAAUCAUGUUGAAAUUGAGCUCGGUGAUGGCGGCGAGGGCGCAUCCGCCGAUGAUUGGGAGGAGGGAGAAGUAGACCGGCGCCGGGAAGUGCUCGCCGAGGAAGAACCUGGAGACGAGCACGCUGAACGCCGGCUCGCCGCUCUUGAUGAUGUGGGUGAACGACACCGCCACCUUCGCCAUGCUCACCGUCGCCGCCACGUGCCCGAUGGUGUGCGCGAUCGCCACCUGCUCGUCCCACAACGAGCAAAAACGAAUCCCCAAAUCCAACGAACGCGUCAGAGAUUCAGAAUAGAACAGAAUCAAGAAGGAGGAGACGAUGGUGUCCAUGGUCAAUGCGAUCUCACCGGAGACAGGGCCUUCCAGAAAUCGAGGUCGGUGGCGGGCGCCUCGGCGAUCCUGGUGGCCCAGGAGGCGAGCAUGAUGGCGGAGCCGGCGGCGAGGGAGAGCGUGGACGUGAGCCACGGGUAAGGGAACGCGUUGAGCACCUUCUUGUUGUAGAUGUUGAAGAUCACGUUCAGCGCCCACCACGUCGCGAAGUAGACCCCGAUCUUGGCCCGCCUCGCCGCCUCCUCCGGCGCCGCGCCCGCCGGUGCAGCCUCCACCGGCCGGGCGCCGUCGGCGGUGGCGGACGGCGGCGGCGGCGCCGGUGACGCGACGCGCGACGCCAGGAAUAACGGGUCCUGCUGCCGGUACAGGGGGCGCGCCGAGAGGGAGAGGGGACGUGGCCCGGCGGCGGCGGCGGCGGCGGCGAAGAGGGGAGGGAGGUGGAGGGGCUUGAAUAAUGCCAUCUUGGGCGCCGUGGCGGUCCCGGCCGUGGAGAGCUUGACGGAGGCGGCGGCGGCGAGCAUAUUGGCGGCGGGAAUGGUGGCGCCGGCUUCUUCAGUUACAGUUACUGUGUUGUGUUGUAGCCGGCCGUCCGUACGUCUAUGGCGGCGAUGGGUAGGGGGGAGGUGUUGGGGGGAGGAAGGUAUUUAUAGGGAGCGCGCGAAGAAGAAGGGAGGCGGUUUUGUGCAUGUAUGUCGCCAGCCAUGGCAUCUUUCUCACCGUAGUGAGGUUUUUGAUUUUUGCUGCCUCUGAAUUAUUGCCUUUCUUUUUUCUUCUUAAAAUGUGCAUUUCUUUCUUUUUUAUAUACAGUUUGUCCGCUGUGUCGUUUUUCGAUAUUACAAUUAUUUGCGAUUAAUUUAUGGUCAUGUUUUAUACAUAAUGCUCGGUUAAUUGUAUAUAAUGCACUAUCGAUCCACCAUGCACGAUUAAAUUCAGCUAUAACCAUAUUGGGAGGACAUAAAUACUAUGCAUUAUGUUAAGAAAAGGCUAGUGCUUCCAUGAUUUGUGCCUGCUAAGGGCUUGUUCGGAUCACAGGAUAGGAAAAACAUAGGAAUAGGAAAACACAGGAAUAAUAUAGGAUUGCAUAUGCAAAACGUAUAAUUGAAAAACAAUGGAAUUUGAUGAUAUGAAGCGUUCGGAAUACAUGAAUAUAUAAACCAUAGAAAUGUUCUAAUUAAUAUUGAUCUCAUAUAUUAUAGUAUAAUUAUAGUAUAAUUAAGCAAUAAAAUAUUAGUUCCCAUCUAGUCACUCCAACGUGAUUAGCAUCUACCCUGUGGUAGCUAAUGAAAAAAAUGAGGUGUGAGUGGAUGUUCAGAAUCCUAUGGAAUUCCCGCAUUUUCACAGGGUUGCUAUAGUAUUCCUACAAAAUUCCUACACGUGCUUCCUAUGAACCGAAUGCAUGAACAUGGCCAAAUCCAAAGGAUUUGCCAAUCCUACAAAAUCCUGUGUAAUCCCUCCGUUCCGAACAAGCCCUAACUAAAUUGCUGCACAAAGUAGUAUCUAAUGUAUGGAAAUGUUCAUCUGUAUAUGUUUCAUCUUUACUGUUUGAGAAUCCGUUUUUGCUAGAAUGCAUGAAACAGAAUGAUCAAAUCUUAGCACAUCUCAGGUAUUCAUUUAUGAAAUAUUUUCUCUUUUCUGAUAAAAUAAUGACAGGAAUUUUUCUAAUACUAAAUCAACACAUUCAUUUGCACAUAUCUAUUUUUACCAUACCAAUUUAUUCAUGGUUUGGUACAUAUAACAGUUGAUUCCUCAAUUCUUUGUUCGUUGUGUGUAUGAUGUUGAAAUAGCUCAAUGAUUAUUUCUACAUUCAAAAUAGAAAAACAUCGACAACUACAUUUUAAUUGUUAGUAAGUGAUUUUGUAUAUUAAUUAAUAUUUUUUCGAGAAAUGCAUAUUUUUCAUGUUGCGUAUGGGCUACGUAUCGUUACAGUUGUGAACAUGUAGUACUAAUAACGUAUAUUUUACGCACGUUUAAAAUUGUGAAGAGAAUUUGCCUAGCAUUUUCAGGGAAGUGUUUUCACACUCUUGGCCACUUGGCAUUGGCUUGCCUCUUGGUUGUUGGGUGGUACAAUACGAGGGCUUUUCAUUUGACCGCUGCUUGUACGUAUAUAUAGCAGCCAAAUGAGUUCUUUCGAAAUUCUAAACAUGCUCAAAGACUUGCAAAAUCUCCCACCUUGCAAAAUCAACAUCAAUAUUGAUGUCAACAUGCAUUUUCAUAGGAGGAUAUAUAUGGAUACUAACUACUCCCUAAUUAAGCUCAGAAUUAUAAGGGCUUACGCCAUCACGCGAGGUGCUCAUAUGAACCAAUAAUAAAAUGAAUAUCAUCUGUUUAAUUAUAAGGAGCUAGUACUGUAACAAAACUGUGAAAAUGAUUAAAAUUUAAAAAAUAUACUACUAAGUUGGUGUCGAAUAUAAUUAUUUGCAACCAACGGUGUUCUUUCGAAGUAAAACCGGAAAACGACGUACCCACCACAACGGUACAAAACCUAACACUACUGGCACACUACUAGUCGGAGCCUCGGAGGAGGUGAGCCGUCAACAGAAGAGCCAUCCCGGCCCUGUGCCGGCAACGACCGUCGACCGCUAAUUCUCACGUACGCCCCGACCCGAGAGAGCCUCUCGCCGUCCGUCCGGUACAGCGAACCUCACCACCAGCGUAGCCGCCUACCAGCUGCGUUUCACCUUCGCCCUCGCGAGCGCGGAAGGCGGAAGCUUCACGCGAUUCACGCCGACCCGAGACCGAGACCUCGUCGCGCAUCCGUCGUCCGUUUCUCUCCUCGCGUACCUCGCGACGAUCGAAACCAAACGGACGACGCGGGCACACUGGCACGUCACGUCGACACGUCCUGUGCCGCGGGGCCCUGUCCUGUCCUCCCGGGCUCCUCGCGGCCGUCCGCUCGCUGCGUGACGGCGUGUGCGGGUCACCUAGCUAGCUAGCGCCAAGAGAGGAGGAGCUAUAGGAGGGGGGGUUUUAGCGGCGGAGAGAGGCCGUGGCCCCGCGUGGCGCGCGAUCUGCACACCUCGGCCGUCCGUGAGGGACCCCGGUCACGUGGGACGUGGGCGUGGGGGCGCGUACUGUGCGGGAAGAUUUUUUUUUCGGGGUGGGGCGAGAGGGAUGCACCAUACUCCCUCCGUAAAAAAAAAAAAUCAAACCCUAAGUUUUCGUGUCCAACUUUGACUGUCUGUCUUAUAUAAAAUUUUUUUAUAAUUCGUAUUUUUAUUGUUGUUAGAUGAUAAAACAUGAUUAAUAUUUUAUGCGUGAUUUGUAUUUUUAAUUUUUUUCAUAAUUUUUUUAAAUAAGAAAAACAGUACAACGUUGGACACGAAAAUCAGGUUUUUUUUUUUUGGCGGAGAGAGUAUGCCAAUAGCCCAGUACGACGACGGACGGACGCUGCAGCACAAGGCGCUGUCGUUUAGGGGUGCAAUUUGGUCGCUCGCGUCGUCGCUUUGUGGGCGUCCGCGCGCUAUUUCCAUUCUGCUGCUUCCCCUGAAUGGCAACUACUGCUAAGCUAGUAUAGCAAGUGGUGAAAUUGGUGAAUGGUGAUCGAUCGCCUCGCGGCUUGGAGUGGAGAAGGCGCUCUCGAUCAGAUAUCCAGAUCGAUCGGAACUAGCAAUGGGUGAUCGUGCUGUAUGAAUUAGGAAAGGCUCGUCCAAGAAAAAUGGUACUGUAAUGUUACUACUAUUCGACGAAUAUGGGCAAAGCUCCCGUUUUCAGGGAAUCGAGAAGACAGACACAUAUGCUAUGCUAUACAACUUGCACGUACGAUUGAUCGAUUCCGGAUCGUACUGACGUAUUUGUAACCUACUCGAUCUCUCACUCUCCGUGCCGUUGGAAUUUCGUGCUGUCAUUUUUCUUUUAAGAUCGGUUUAACCCGUGCCAUCGAUCUACCCACACACACACAUUGCCGACUGCUACCCAUCGAUCGAUCAGCGCUGGGAGGUUUAGUGAUCGUCGAUCGUAUAUAUGUUAUGUACAGCUUGGUAGCUGCGCUUUAGUCUUACUCCUAGCUACGUGCCGUGUUUCGCUUGCUUGCUACUAGGACAGUACAGUACGUACUACUAGCUAGGAUGAGGAGCAACACACGCACAUCAUCAUGCCGUACGUUUUGUCAGCUGUCGCUGCCCACACCAACCCGGCAUCCGCGCGGACCAGCAUCGGGCGGCCGCGCCGUCCGUCUGCUUCCGAGCCUUUCCUUCCGCGGCCAUCGGCGCAUGUGCUAUCCUGUCACCUCGCGAGCUUUGUUCGCAUCCGCCCCGCCCCGCCCAACCGCAGCUGCAACCUGCAGCGCGCGCGCCUCUGCUGCGGCCGGAGAUUUUUUUUUUCUCUGCGCGGCGCGCGCGAGCGCCGUGUGCGGGUUUUUCACCACCACCACGCGAUCAUUCGACGCGCCACGGCGUUUCGAUCAAGGCGUGCGCGCAUGCGCGUCGGUUUCCCCGUGCGUGUUGCUGUUUCCAUCGGCGAGUCGUACGUACGUACAUGGCCACGCGCCACGUACGUCUCGCCCCACGUGGAAAAGGGAGAGCAAAAUGUGUGUGCAGAUUAUAUAUAUACGCGGAUCAGAAGUGAGGUCACGGUGCGUGCGUGAGCUUGAGUAUAUGUAGUCACACGGAAAUCACGUAUAUAUAUUCAGCUGUGUACUCUUGUGUGUGUGUGUGUAUGUAUGGCAGUAUGGGACGGGAGACUGUUUGGCAUGCACUUUGGUUUCAAGAGGCUGGCGGUAGGUAGAUCCGGCCAAGUUUACUCGUGGUGCUAGUUACAGCCACAUGAUUGGGGUAUGUACUGUUGUCAUACAGAACGUUCUAGCGAGCAAGAGUAGCACUACUUUGCUAGUGAUCUUCCAAAAAGAAAACAAUAAGAAAGAAUAGUACCCUCUAGUAGUAUAUUAGUUGUACUAACUUGUAAGUAAUAAUAUGCUUUAUCAGGCCACGAAUAUAAGAGAUAAUAUGUUAUUUAAGAGAGUUUAAAGUUGAGAUAAAAAUACUUUAUAUUCCUAGGAGAUUUUACUUCACUAGAAAAGAUAACUAUUGCUUGAGAACAGGAGUAGUAUACAAAAGCACAUAUAGGCACAACUAAUGUACACAUGCUCAACUUGAUUAUAUUUCUAGUCCCAUUUUUCAUCAAGGAUGUGAGCUCAUCGUACUGAUUUCUUUCGAACACCAAAAUUUAAAUGGAAGUUCAAAUGAAUUAGCUUAACUCAUAAAAUUCUUUGAAAUACCCUAGCCACUCUCUUCGUAGAGAAAAUAAAAGCAGAUGCAGGAUAAAAAAUAAUGUUCUUUCCAUUCAAUAAACCUAUAUGGGCACACAACGGUGUCUAUUUAAGGCCCAAUCUGGUCGGGGGAGCUAAUUGGCGCGCGCCCCUCCACCGGCCACGUGGCUUUUUUUUUUUUGCGACUUCCCGAUUUUUCUCUUUUUUUUGUGUGAUUUUUUUAGCGAUUUUCAGCACGAUUUUUCCUUUUUUUUCGUGAUUUUUUCCCUUUUGCCUCCCUCCCCUCAGCGUAUUUUCCAUAUAUUUUUUUCAUUCUUUUUUUUAAAAUUUGAAAGUUUUUAAAUUUGAGUUGAAAGUUUUUAAAUAUGGACUUGAAAGUUUUCAAUCUCGAGUUGAAAGUUUUCAAAUCUGACUUGAAAGUUUUUAAAAUUUGUCUUACAAAUUUAAAUUUCGAGUUGAAAAUUUUCAAAGUUUAAGUUGAAAUUUUUUAAAUUUUGACUUCAAAGUUCAAAUCUUAAGUCGAAAGGUUUCAAAUCUAAGUUAAAAGUUUAAAUUUCUAGUUGAAAAUAUUAAAAAAUUGAAUUUAGAUUUUCAAAUUUUGAGUUAAAAGUUUUAAAUUUUAAGUGAGAAUUUUUUUUCACGUAUAGAUUUUUUUGGAUGACUCCUGGUCGGGCGUCCGAUCAGGAGAGGGUAAAAUCGGGCGCUGACGUCAGCGUCCGAUUUACAUGCAAAAUUACUUUAAACUGAUUUAUCUCUUAAACUACUUAUCCAAAUGAUGAUCCGAUUGCACUAUUAAAUUCAUUGCAAUUAAAUCUUCAAAACAAGACCACGCAUGGAUAUAUUUCGACGAAAUUUUCUUUUAUCUUAUUAUUGAAUUAUUUUUAAAUGUUGCAAGAUGUUCCACCAGAUAUAUCAGAAUUGUUUCACUAAGUAGAUCGAAAAUGUUUCACUCGUUUAAAUUGGGUGUUGUUUCACCUUAUAUAAAAACAAUGUUUCAGCAAAUAGCGAAAGAAUGUUUCAGUUCACUGCAACAUUAGAUCUAUACAUAGUGAAACAUUUUUGAGUACACUCGGUGAAACAUUUUUCGGUGGAACAAAAAAUAAACCAAAUUCUCUUAAUAGGGGUUUCCAAAAUAUGUGGGUUUUUUGUUGCAAUGGAAUGUUUCGUUCAGUGUAACAUUAGAUCUAUACAUAGUGAAAUAUUAUGAGUACACUAGGUGAAACAUUUUGGGUGGAACAAAAAAUAAACAAAAUUCCCUUAAUAGAGAGUUUCUAAAAUAUGUGGGUUUUUUUUUUUGCAAAAGAGUAUUUUAAUUUACUACAACAUUAGAUCUAUAAAUAGUGAAACAUUGUAAAUACAUUAUGUGAAACAUCUUUUGUGGAAAAAAGAGGAGCAUAAAUAGGUGGGCCUAAGUAGGCACGUGGGGGAGGGGGCGCGGGGGGAGUGCCCGAUCCGGCUCCCUCCGCACCGGGCGACCGGCAAAGAGCAUUUCCAGAUUUUUUUAGUAAAAAAAAUUCCGGAGAAAAGGAAAUAUUUUAUUAAUUACCGUCAUUAACCUAAACUAAUUGAGUUAGUUACGUCCUCUGGAAUCGCUAAUCGAGUUAAAUGGAGUCGCGCGCUAGCGGCGCGUACGCGCGCGUUAGCUUUCCGAAUCUGGCCUGGUGUAUGGAGUCCCGAACAGGCCCAUAAAUUGGCGUUCGGAGCCCAAAACCUCUCGCAUUUCCAGCCCAUCAAGUCGCUUCGUCCUGGGCUUAGCCCACCACGUCUCUUUCUCAGUUUCUCGGCCCGUCCGCCGUUGGUUGGCUGCUUCCGCUCUCCUCCAAUCCAAGGCUCCCCGCGUCCCCGCCCUUCUCCUCCCGCGCCGCCGUUCGCGCGCGAGAAAACGAGGCGGCGGCGAUAUCGGAUGGAUGAUGCCACUGCCCUCUCUCUCUCUCUCUCUCGCCUUCGCGCGCGCGUGCUAACUCACAGCAUUGGUAAGUGCGAGGUGAUGGUGCCAUUGCUGCUCGUGCGGGAUGCGGUCUCGUGGUCACGAGGUUCCCUAUGAUGCCCGCGACGUGUUCGACGGUUUGCGCGAGCGAGGGAGGCGCGGCGGUGGUUUUGGGCUGAGCGUUUGGUGCCUCUCGUUUUCUGAUUCCCUGUCGGUCCCUACUUCAUUUCGGCAUGGGAUGGAGACUCGGGCCGUGCUGGGGUUUGGUGCUAUACUGCUAUCGUCCAGGGAGCUAAAACAGGAAACGGGUUGAUUCCCCCGGGCUCGAAUUCAGAACAUCAAUGCUUUGCUGGCUGAUUGCUGCCUGCUCUUAUCAAUCAUCCGCUUGCAGGACUGUAGGCUGUGGUGAUUUUAGUGGUUCUCCAUCCCAGUAAAAUUUGCAAAUUUCUGGAUGUUGCACAUCUCCUGAUCUGCAAGAAUAUUACCUUCUUCAAGGAGAAUAAACUUAUGCUGUGAGAAUUGUUUUAUCACCCUAUGGCCUCUGUAGACUCUAUACGGGGUGAAUAUCAGUUAGGUCUUUUUCAUGGAACCUGUGACCAUGUGAUUUCAAAAUCUGUUCACGUUGUUGAAUUAGUAUAUAGGGAAAGAAUUUGUGUUGUCAGCUAAUGGUUGUGCCUUUUGGUUCUGCUUCUGGGAUCUUCAUUUUGAUUUUGUGACAAUCUGGUUUGCAUUUUUUUCCCCCUGGAAUUACACCAAGAAAAAGCAUUCUUUGCAGCUGAGAUUUGAUAUGUAUCUCCGGCAUGUACCCUUCAGUAAACAAAGUAUUUGAAAUACGAUAGGAAUUAGUAGUGUCGGAAAUGCAAAGCUGUACUUCUUUUGCUAUUUGCCUGACGUUUUGCUUGUUUUGAGCUUUCCUUACCUUUUGCUAAUCUGUUUACCUUUACUAUGUUUCAGGGACAGGAGAUGAUUCUAGGGCCAAACAUGCAGCUGUGGCAUCUGGAAGCACCACAAGUUAUGUAGAUUCCAUCUUCUCACCGCUGUUGCUGCAAAUAAUCUUUGUUAACUAAUGGUACCCAGAUUGCUUACUUUGGACCUAUGCUUCUCCUUUAUGUUCCUUCCUGCAACAAACUGCCGACAUACUAUUUAUACUAGGUUUGCUGUUAGUGCAGUGAAAUUUGGAUAUAUCUAUAUGUCUAGAGAUUUCCUAUCCAUGUGACCUGAUUGUACAAUGCUGUUUCUUUGGUGGAAUUUAGUAUUUGCAUAUUAACUUCUUUAGUUUGCUCCCUGUAUGCCCAUAUGGUUAAGUUGAUUAUCAGCUCCGUUUUUUGCCAAUUGAUAAUCUGACAGGUACAUUAGUUCUGAAGCUUCCGAGUUCUGGAGACAUGCAAUUGAUGUCAAUUGUUCUCAGGCAUCUCUAUCUUUUAACUUGGAGUAUAUCUAUAAUACAUACAAAAUUAUCCAUGUUUCUAAAUUGGCUGCAACAGCUAACCUCAGCAAUCACAUUGAUUAGCUACCUUCUAUAUAUCUAGUUUGUAGUACCUAAAGACUAAACUCUCUAAUGGUCCACCUAGAUUGUUCCCAGAUAGCACCUAAUAUCUAUGAGCUGUGGCAUAAAAUAUUCCAGUUACUGCUGGACCCUGCAUUUUGCUGAUAGGUACAAAAAGCUAUUUUCCGCUGCAUUUUUUUUAAUGAUUUUGCAAUUUAGGACAUACUUGAUAGUAUUAUUAUUCCGUGCUAUCCUAUGAACUGGCUUGCCAUUAACUUCAUACAUCUCUCUGGUUUUAUUCUAAGAUCAUACUUAGUAUGUGUCAACCCCCAUAGUAUUAAUAUUCCCAGCAUAGAAAUGCUGCUAAGUUUCUGUCUUGUAUUGAACAGCAUAUUCUUUCUUAUAUUGAAUUAUCUGCACUGAAUAUUUGGAGCCUUUUCUUGCUGUUGACUAGUUGGAGUAAUAGUUGCAUUUCCAAUGAUUUUUGUCCCAAAGACAGGCUAGCAUGAAGCUGUAGCUGGAGUUUUUCCUGCGCUUUGCCUGCCACCACUGAGCUUAAAACAUGGACAACAUCAUUAAAUCAAAUCCUUAAGAUUCUCCAAGGAAGCGAGGAUUAGUAGCAACAGCUGAGAUCCCACAUUCCCACUAUUUACUAGGAUAAUGAUAAGUACUAGUACUAUAUAACACAUUACAAUUCACAUUCGUCCAUUUUCUGUACAGCCUGUUAGUCUUCUCAAAGGAUUUUUGUUCCCUAAUUACCCUUACAUUUGUUCUUGCACAUACAAUAUUUCUGUUUUCUUGAUUCAUGUACCUCUGAAUCAUUUUCAUCUUUAUUUCAGGUCUUGUAAGCAAGUCAUGGCAGGUACGGUGGCACUAAUAUGUUUGUCCCAAUAAGUCAAUGCUCCCGUGCCAUGGAUUCUUAUAUGGGGGCCAUAUUCUAUUAGCCCUUCAAACAUACUAGUAGGGAAAAACUCAAUGAUUUGGCUCUGAAAUGUCAAAAGGAACCCCAGAAGUGCUAAUUUGAUUUACGCCGUCAAAAACGAAUUCAGGUAUAACUUUCAACACCAUAAUCAUUCUAGCUAUUAUGAAAACACAAGCCAUGUGCAGAAGUUGUGAGGCACAUAAUCUGAACAUCAAUUUUCAUUCAGACAAUGAACAGGCAGAUGAAAACGAGCCAACAAUGUUUCUUUAGAGAAGAAACAAAUUACUUGUUUAUCACUCGAUCGGUUAGAUGAAAACUCGCUAUUCCCUACAGAAGAAACUAAAUGCUUUACAGUGCUGCUCUAUCUUUUGUUUCAGUCACAAGUCAGAAUAUUAAUCAGUCUAGGCCACUUAAAAUUCGAUGUAAACGUUGCAAAUAUAGUACCGAUAAAAUAAGCAAAUUAUGUCUAUGUGAAGUCGUUUUAGCAACCAUGACAGAUCCCUUUCAUGUCUUAUUUGUUUGCAUGCAUCUCUUUCAAGUUUACUAUUGAAAUGUUCUCUCUUUUUAGGUGCAAUUUGUACCUCCAUAGUCCAUACUCCAGGACAGAUUCUAAAUGUUGUACAUUUGCCUUCUCAGUACUCAUUCAAGGGACAGGUUUUGUUUUCUAUUUCUCACUUUUCCUUUUCUUCCAGAGGAAUGUCUGUUUGCCAGAGGGCAUGCAGAAAACCAGGAGAUGUGGUGCCAUGCUGCCAUGCAAAGAAGAAGUUUUUGUCAACCACAACACAUGGGCACCAAUCAAUCAUCCAUUAGAGGUGUGGUUAGUACUACUCUACUGCUCAUCAGCAUGUCAGCCAUCCUGUCUCUACGAUUAAUCUUGUAUAGGUAAUUAGGCUACAUACUUAUAGCACCCUGUGUCAUGUGGUCAUCACCCAAAAUGCCGUAGCUGAUACGUUGUUGAUGGGGAUUGGGCCACUGUGUUAUGCUCCCAUGACCUGAAAUUAAUUAUCAGUUCGCUGAAAAUCUGAAACCGGUGCUUGUAAUCUAGUUAGACCAAGCAAAAUGCAUGCCACUUGUUAUUAUAAUGAAGUGGCUUUGAUACCAUCAAUUAACUACACUUUCAAAGCGAGGUUACUAAACUAUAUUGAUCUUCUUCUUAAUCCAUAGGAAAUUAAAAAGGCUCAAGUUUGUGUCAAAAGAUCAAAACAGUGGACAUAAAUCUAUCACUCCUCCCCAUACACACAACACGUUUUGGUCUGCACGUUGUCGACCGUGGCCCGAUCAAGUACUGAUCAGCAAGCAAAGAUUUUUUGAGAGCUAAUUAAUCAUGGUGUCUUAACUAGUACUGAUAUCCAUCUUUGAAAACCUAGUUAGGCUGUGAUCGAAUGCAAUUAGGCUUUAAUUAAUUAAGCUGUCAUAUGGUACGGAAUUUCCCGGACUGUUUCUUCGGCGCGAGCACAUACAUAUACAAGUUUGAUAUCUCAAUGAUUGCUCAUUGCUGCAGCGUAUUGCAAGGAAUACUAUAUACUUAUAUGGCUCUCACGACGUGCGGCGCACUAAUGAUGGAUUCGGUGCGUGCGUACGUGUGCGUGCGUGCGUACGUCCGUCAGUAACGGUAACAACGGCCGGGGACCAAACCAACAGAGAGAGAGAGACCAACUGCUGCAGAGACCGGUGUCGCCAUGUUCAUCAUCAUCAAUUCAUCAUGCCUACCUUUGCUUGCAAUUUCAACGCAGCGAUUGGUGCAGGCAUAUGCUUUUUCCUCAGAAAGUUUGCUGCGAGCUUGACAAUGUAUGUCCAUCCUGAACUACCUGCAGGUAAACACAUCUAUAUCCUCCCCCUCAAUUUUGUGGAAAUUAUUACCGAAAUCCUUCUGUUUUUAUUUGAUGUUUAAAAUUGAACUAACCAACGUCAUGUUGAUAAAAAUAGAGGGAGUACGAUUAAUUUAAGGCUCUUGAGAAGGUACAGAGAGACUGUAUUUUUUUAAAAGAAACUUCUCUUACGUAGUUAGAUAUGAGGGUAAUAACAAGGGAAUUGAGAAUUAACAGGUUUCUGCCAGUAAUAUAUUGACAAUCUAAGUGUCUAUUCUUUUGAGCUAAAUGCUGAGUGACCGAUUGGUUCGUGACAAUUAUCCAAGGAUACAACCGAAUGAAUUAACUAUUAUAAAGUUGAAACGAUUUUCUAAGAGAUUCAUAUAUAUAAAUCUUUUUAAUAAAAGCCGCAUCAUUUGGUAGUUUAGGAAGCAUGCAUUUAUCCGUUAAAUAUAAUGCAAGGAAUACAAGUAAUCAUCUUGUGGUGAGUAGAGCCUAGCUAGCUAGACUAUGUCACAUGGAUUCAGAUGAGCAAGGGGAUGCGGCUGGAGUCCUGCGUAUACACUAUAACAAAAAAAAAAAAGGAGGAGGCGUGAUUGAUUAGGUCGGGCAACUUCUGAAACCAAGGCAAAAAUAUUCUCCGUUUUCCUUUUUUUUAAAAAAAAAAAUUGUAACGGAAACAGUGCCCAUAUACUGUUGAUCUUAACACCCCAACCACCUUACUCUUUCUUUUCUCCUCCCUCCUCGUGAUGUCAUUCAGCUUCACACCUCUCUCUUCUCUUUCUCUCUCUCUCUCCUGUUUAUAUAUAUAGAGAGCCAGGCUGUAUGCAUCUUUGCAAAGCCAUCCAUUAAUUCAUCCAUUCGAUCAUUGGGUACAACACAAGCAUAGAAGCUUGUACGAUUAAGUUGAUCAGCUUUAGCUAUCACCACCUUUGCUUGUAACAUCAAAAGCAUGGAGGAUUUAGUUAGUGGCUCAUCUGUGAUGAGGAGUGCCAUAAUUAGCUGCAGUAGUACUAGUGAAGAUCAGCAAGCUGCUGCUGCUGCUCAAGCUCAGCCGGAGGAGAGCACCUGGACCGACUACUUUGUGGAUUUCAUGAUGUCCGAGGAGGAGAAGAAGAGUCAAGAAGAUCAUGGUGCUUCUUCAUACUGCUCCCAUGGCGGAGAUGGCGUCUAUGGCGAUUGCAGUGAUCAGAAGGAGCUGGAGGAGGAGGAAGGAGAGGAAGAUUCUAUGAUCUCCGACGCCGCGUCUUGCGCUCCCGCGGCUGCGGCGUUGCCUGAUAGGUACAAGGAGUUGAAGAAGCUCAAGAAGAAGGUCUUCAAGGCCCUGGAUCAUGAUGAUUCCCUGGAGGAUACCGCAAGCUCUCCAGUAAAUAGCCCUAAGGUAGUUACAGCUAGCUUAAUUCCCUAUAUAUUUUUGUUGCUAUGAAGGCUUAAAGCUAGAGAGUCUUUGUUUUUUUUUUAAAAAAGAAAUAAAGAAAAGAAAAAUUAGAGAUUACUAGCUAGUUGGUGUUGAUUUGCCUGUUUGAUUUGCAUCUUUCAGGUCAGUGCUUUGACACAGCUGGAAUUGAGCCCUAAAAGGAGGUGCAAUACCAGGGACCUAACCAAGGUAAUUAAUUAAGUUCAAUCAAUAAUCAGUUGGUGUUUUAUUGAAAAGAUACUAUUAUAAAUUGUCCAUCCAUUUUUUUCAGGUUUCUAGAAAAGUAGUAAAAAUAUUGUCUUGUUUUAACAUCCUGUCUCUUUUUUUUUUCCUUGAAGGAAGUUGGGAUUGGAGAUGAUCGUGGAAGAGAGGGGAUGGACUAUGCAGAUGCAAUGGUAGAGGGGGUGAGGUUUGUUGAUCAAAGUCAGAAGAGUGUAACUCCAUGUGGAGAGCUAAAGGAUAAGGGGCUUUGUUUGUUUCCUUUGUCCAUGUUGCUACACUACCAUGGAUGAAAAUUUGAGAACUUCAAUGUAGAGCACGUGUAGGGUUUAUGCCUUACAUGAAUGUGUGUGGGAUAAAUGACCAAAAAAUAUAGUGUGCUGAGAUUACUGUGGAUAUAUUUUUUGGGUGAAAAUAUAUGUGAAUAUAUAUUACCGCUCCUGCUCUCCUUGUUUCAUUUUUUUUUCCAUUUUGUUUUACUUACCACUAGUUAUGCUCUGUGCGUGCAGUUUAUUUUAUUAGAUAUCUAUAUGGAUGCUCCUAAAAGCAACAAUAUAUAUAGAUGGUUACAAAUGGUACAAAAUUGUCAUGGUUAUUUACAUGGUGUUUUGAGAUGUUGUGCAGUACAAAUUAAUGAAUUAAGGUGAGUUGCUCUCCUGCUGUCCUGCACAUAUAUAGCUAUACAGGUAAGUUCCAACGAUUGAUCAGAGGCCAUGUAACUUAGUAAGACAUUAGUAUUAAUUAGUAUAUUCACAAUUCACAAAUGAGUGAAUGACUAACACAUGAGUUACAGAACAUGUCAAUGCUCUACCUUUACAUGCAUGUCUCUCACUUUUUGUUCGAUGUAAAAUAAGUGUUCCCAACCAGCCGAUGCCACUAGCUUAUCAGCAUGAUCAGAUGGGCUAUCUACCAACUCCUUUUAAUUACAUCAUGGAUGUACCUGUUAACUCAGUUACCUGAUAUGUAGCUAAUUAGCUAUAGCUAUUACUACCCACGAGUAGCUAAUUAAUUAGCAAAUGCAAUGCUAAAAAUUUAGGGUUAUCUUGAUGCUAAAAGAAUUUCAUUCUAAGGAGAUAAAGUGGAUAAACAUAAAGGCAGCAUAUAUGUGCAAUGACCAUGCUUGCAGCCCAUGAACAAGUAGUGGUUAGGGAGUAGCUUUCAUGAAGGGAGAAUAGUUAAGUGCUUGACUGUUGCCAAGAUUUGAAAGCUAAAGGACUUAUUAACAAACCAAUUAAAUUUUUAAGGGCUAGAUGACCUCCCCCUAAUUUGGCACCUUUAGCUUGUCCCUUCAUGCAUGUUAAAACAUUAUUUUCUUUCACCAUCUUUCGUAGCCUUAUCAAUCGAUCUUAGGAGUUAGGUUUGCAAGCAUGAAGUCUUGAGAGCUACACCUAUGUAUAGCCUUUUCGUUUGUACGUCUCAUGCAUGGUUCAUCUUGUUACUGUCUGAACACUUGACUACUGAUCCAAAUAACCAAUUGCCCGCUGUCUAGAUCAAAGAAAAGAACGAAUUCUACGUCGUCAACUACUGUGCGAUGUUAAUUAAUCUGAGAUUUCGACAUUGCUAAUAAAUGAAUGUGGGACAUCAUAUCGUGUACUUAAAAUGAAAAAAAAAAGGUUUUGAGAAAUAUAUUGACAUGCAAUUCUUUUGCGCAUUCGCGAAAAAUAAUGACUGAAAGUACAUGAUGUUAUUAUGGCAAAGUAAUUGCUCUAUCCUCAUCACGCUUGGAGGUCCCUCAAUAACGACAUGUUUUUUUUCUUUUGAUGUGUCUAUUGAUUAACAUGAAUUAUUCAAGAGCACGCAGCUGAAUUCAAUAUAUAGUUUCUGGCCGGUUAUCACUGUAGCUCAUUAUUCAUUCUUAAAAUAUAUAGCGAGAAAAUACAUGUAGUGGAAACCACAUGUGUAGUAGUGAAUCCUGGACGUAGGAUAAGAAAAUUGAUGCAUGCGAUUGUUCACGUCAUACUAAUUUACUUUUACUGGUCACAUAUAUUUUCCCUAGUGUAACCGGGCAACCGAACCUUUCAAAAAAAAUUUGCUGGGUAAGUUAUCCAGCAUAACUAAAUUUGUAUGUUUUUAACUGAACCUGUUGCCCCAUAAAGAUAUAUGAAGAGAUCAGAUUAAUUAGCAUCUUAAUCUAAAUGUUCUUCUGCAUUUUUCAUCUUAUGAGUUCUUAUAUAUGAACAGGAAAUAUAUUAAUUAGCUUCAGAACUUAAAAUUAGUAUUUUUAGAUGACAGUACUUCAAAGUUAAAAUUAGUUGAUACCCUUUCAUGUGUGCUACCAGUUUAUUUUGAUAGAAGCCUUUUGGUGGAGCUCCAGCUGCAAGAAUUCUUUGCACCGCACCAUCUUGUUCAUAUUUUAGAUCACGAAGAAUAGAUGCUUAAAUCAUUAUAUUUUAACCUAUAAACUCCAAAAUCUAGAGGUUUGAGGUUUGCCAAACAAGCCCUAAGAAUAGUACAUUGCACUUGUAGAUUUGGGCCAUAUAUGUUGGCCUGCAUGUUACUGAAGCUUCCAACCAAAAGGUGGCUAGCUCUGAAAAUAAAUAAUAAAUAAACAAAAGAGAUUAUCUUAAUCCCCAAUCCUUAUUAGGUACCAUCCUAAUCACUACUUAGACAGUGUCUUGUCCCUUAAAGAACAUCUUGAAGACUAAUUAAUCACUCUGGCCUGAAUCAUCAUCAGUUAUGUCGUAAUGCACCCUUCACAGAAAGUUAGAAACAAGUGGAACAAAGAUAGCCUCUUGAAUGUCCUUGAGGACUAGUGUUUGGAGAAGAUUUUUUUUUUUUUUGGGGGGGGGGGGGGUGGGAAUGGAAAAAAAAAUAUAAUGAACUCAAACUGAGAAAACUGUCAUGUGUCCAUGUGCACGGCAUUAAGGUUGUUGGCACAUAUGAGAAAAAAAAUUGAAAUAUGUUAUCUUAUCCACGUCUUGGCUGCCCGUGUAUCCAUGAUUUAUAUUCUCCGGCCGUCUGAAUUUAAAAUCGCAACAAGUUGGAAAUUAUUUUGCGGAAUGGUGCAAAACAUCAAAGAAUUUACAAGAAGUCAAUGUUCACCAAUAUUUUAUUUUAUAUUUCAGGGACAAUUAUCCCGUCGCAAGGAAGUGAAAUUAUGAUUCUUUUGUAUGUUGAUGUAAUCAUGUUACCGUCAAACAACUGAAGCUAUAUGACCUGCUACAGUGCUCCUCAGGUUUUCAGAUACCAAAACUAGAUUGAUUCCUGGGGUCUUGUUGGCCCUAGUUCUCAGCUUUAAUUUGAGGAGAGGAACAACACAAAAAGUAGACUGUUUUCUGCCAAAACAUUGAAAAGACAAUUCAUGUUUCUUUUUGCCUUUUCCCCAUAACUACUUAUUGAUCAACGCAAAUCUUCUGUAUUAAAUUAUCUGUAAAUAAUUGAAUCACAACUUUAGAUAUACUCCCUCCAUAAAAAAAAAUCCAAUCCUAACUAUGAAUCUAGACAAGUGCUUAUCUAUGUUCAUAUCUAAAUUUAUAUUUUUAAACGGCUUCUCAAACUAACUUCCAAUAUGAAAUAUACAAAGUACAAAAUUUCAGUAGCUAGGCCGGUGCAGUUUUCCUCAUUACAUUACACUGUCCUGUCGAAGUGUCGAACCGUCUUUCAGAGGUUCAGUUGAUGGUGCAUGGAUCAACCACAAGUUGUUGCAUGUUUUUUCAUCCCCUUUUCUUUUCUUUUCUUUUUUCUUUUUCUUCAGAGAUGGCAACAGUUUGUUGUACUGACAAGAAGGUUUCCGUACGAGUGAUGGAUGCUUCACCUACCAAGAGAGAGAGAGCUAAUUGGUGAGUGACAAAGAACAUAAUAUGUUGGAGCUAGCUCACAUGCAUGCUGCCUUGGCUUGUUUCCUUUUCUUUUUGCAGGCUCGUUUUUUUUCUCUCCUAUCCAUACAGGAGGUUAGUACAGUUGGCCUGUUGGAUUGCUCCAUUUCUCAAACAAAUGCUGGAUUGUGCUCACUCACAAAUCAUGGCUCAUUAGAACAUACAUGUGAGAAUCUUGAGAUGUCGUGAUCACAUAAAGCUUCAUACCGUUGUUAGCUUCAGAGAGGGAACCAUGCAUCUUUUUUUUUCUUCAAAAAUACGCAAAAGAAUUAUGCAUCUUCAUAUUAAAAUUUUAAAGUUUUUCUUAAAAAAGAAAUUUUACAGUCAUUGAGAGAUACCAAAAGUUUUAGCGCAAAUUUGGUACCUACUAGUAUCUCCUUAAGGACUGCAAAAUCACUCUUUCGGAAAGGCUAUGCUCAUGAAAAUAAGAAAAACGCAUCACGUUACGUGCCAACACCACUACCACACCCUUACACACCCUUAUCUUGGUUUGAUCUAUGCAACAAAAUAGUAAGCUGCAUUAUUCAGAGUUCAGACACACACUGAUGAGAUGGGUCAAAUAAUCAAAUUUGAAUUCAGAGUUUGAUCUUUCUGUAAAAUAAUUUGUCAACUCAAAUGGUCUCUAUUCGUUCUUUAAAAGGUGUUCUCUCCUCAGCCUAAGAAUUUUAGAAGGUUGGUGCUCGAUCCUUGUAUACAGAUGAAUAGAUCGGCAAGUACAGAGUUGCAACUUGAGUAUAAUUUAAUCCCAGAUGUAGGCAUUUCAGCGUAUUCCAGCAACUGCAUUAUAUAUCUUGUUCUUUUCUUUUUGGAGCACUUGGUAGGUACUCAAUCGAUUUAUGGAGAAAAUACUGGAUUAAUUUGUUAAUUCUGGACAAACAAUAUAAUAUUCUGCAAGAUUUCAACAGAAAUUCUGUUAGUCGUCUAGAUAUAUAGCAUGACUAGAGAAAUCAAGAAAAGAUUGCAAGAUUCCAUAGGAAAUAUGAAAAAUGUCUGAACCAACUGCCAAGAUGGAGAGGUAUGGGAGGAACCACGAAAUCUUUGAUUGUGUUAUUUGUCUUUGUCCCAGUUACCCCGUAUCUUUGACAAGAUUGCAAUCCGUUUUUUUUUUUUGUCAUUUGUCAUCUGAUUCAAGGGAUGAUGGUUUUUUCACAUAGAAUACACGGCAAUCAUUGGAUAGAGCUGCCCACCACUACAAAAUCCACGACUUAGGUUUGCAUAGAAAAAUUACAAGGAAAAUGCAAACGCAUAUGCGCUGGUUAAACUAAGUAUUUAAGAAAUUAUUGGUAGUCAAAAUUAUAAAAAUUUAAUCAAAUUUUAUCUUAAACUUUAAAUAUGUGUGACCGGAGAAAAUAACUACUUCGUUUCAGGUUAUAAGAUGUUUUAACUUUAGUCAAAGUCAAACAGCUUUAAGUUUGACUAAGUUUAUAAAACAAAUAGUAAUAUUUUCAACCCAAGAUAAAUUUAUUAUGAAAAUAUAUUCAAUUAUUGAUUUGAUGAAACUAAUUUAGUAUUAUAAAUAUUACUAUAUUUGUCUAUAAACUUAGUCAAAUUUGAAACAGUUUGAUUUUGACCAAAGUCAAAACGUCGUAUAACCUGAAACGGAGGGAGUAUUAAUUAAGCCAUCAAAACUCACUCAGUCUCGAGCUUUGGCCCAAGGCUUGGACCAAACCAUAAUAUUUUGUGCUAUUUUUAUUUGCACCUAUACGGUGGAAAUAAGGUUUAACUCGUAGAAAAUGCUUAUUAUUUAGAGGCUUAUUGGCAAUCUAAUUUUGCUCACAGGCUCAAUCUUUUUUUAAAUAAACUCGCAUGCUCAAUCUAGUUUAUGGGAAGUUUGCUCGGAGAAACGCUCAGAUAUCUUCCGAGGCUAAUUAUUCACAUCUUUUUGGAAGUUUGCUUGGACUGAUAGGGAUUGGGCAUCUCAAAUUAAUGGGCCCUGACUGAAUCUAGGACUAUUGUACAGUAUACUAGUAGCCCUUAACUUAUGCCUUUAUGAAAGAAAAAAAAGGCAUACUACCUUGAGGGUAAAUGGUGCCGUGGUAGUUUAGGCUGCAUUGCGGAGGACACGGAAAACAAAGCACGUGAUUAUUAUAGUGAGAUUAAUUAAGUAUGAGAAAAAAACUUGAAAAACUGAUUAAUAUUAUUUUUAAAACAACUUUCAUAUAGAAAACUUUUAUAAAAAAUACACCGUUUAGCAGUUUGAAAAGGAGAAAAGUGAGUUGGGAAAGAGGGGUAAACAACACAGCCUUAGUAUAGGCAUAUGGAUUUCAGCUAAGGCCUUGUUUAGUUCCCAAGAAUUUUUGGAUUUAGUUGUCACAUCGGAUAUACGGACACACAUUUGAAGUAUUAAACGUAGUCUAAUAAUAAAAUAAAUUACAGAUUCCGCCAGAAAACUGCAAAACAAAUUUAUUAAGCCUAAUUAAUCCGCCAUUAGCAAAUAUUUACGGUAGCACCAUAUUGUUAAAUCAUGGCGUAAUUAGGCUUAAAAGAUUCGUCUCGCAAUUUACACGCAAACUGUGUAAUUAUUUUUUUUCUUUUGUCUAUAUUUAAUACUCCAUAUAUGUAUCCAAACAUUCGAUGUGAUGGGUAGAAAGUUUUUGUUUUUGAAAACUAAACAGAGCCUAAACAUGUGAAAAUUCUACCUUGAGGUCAGAUGAUGAGAUGAGCCCACAUUUAACUCGCCCGCGGUGGAUGGGAUUGCCAAAUUAACCAAGUUGGCCUAAAAACAUAUUACGAAACAAAGCUGGUGAAAGAUCUAUGGUGUUAACUAAAUCUGCGAGGCAGUUCCUAUAUGUAGUAAAAAAGAAAAGUUAGUUUUUCUAUUUAGUGUUUGGUGAUGUAUUAUGAAAGUACAUUGCAUAUAGCUUGUUAAUUCAACAUGGUGGACCGGCCGCUCAAUGCAAAUACUGGUGUUGAUGGGCCAUCUAGCUACAAUUUUCAUUCAUCUUAUCUUCACAUGGGCUGGCUGGGGUCUUGCCGUCUUGGACAUAGAUGUUUGAUGGGUUUACAUGUCACAUUGUUUAGAGAGAAGGCUAUAUAUUGUCACAGAAGCUUGUCUAUAGAUUCUCUUUCCUAUCAGGGGUUAACCUCAAGCUCCUAUACGCCAUUGAUCAGCAUGUAUGAACAGCUACGACGAAAGAGAGCCAUGAAGCAACAGGAAGUUUGGACAUUAUCUGAGUUCCAACCUACGGCUUCGGAACCCUUCCCUUUCCACACACAGAUCUCAACGACACAUCAGUAUUAUAUGAUUAAUUAAGUGUUAGCUUAAAAAGCUCGAAAAAUAAAUCAUUAUUAUUUUUUAAAGCAACUUUCGUAUGGAAAUUCUUUUACAAAUAUAUACUGUUUAGUAGUUUGGAAAGCAUAUACAUGGAAAAUAAAUAUUGGGAAAAUGGAGUAUAGAACAAAGAUCUAAACAAGGAGGAGGCAGAUCAAUAACAUUGUCAAUUGGUGGUUGAAACAGUUGACUGAAGAUGGAAGCCCCUUGAAGAGAAGGGCAUGGCACAUCUGCAAGAUUUCAGUAUGUUAAAGCGUUCGCGCCUUGUUCAUGAUCUGUGCACUUGUAGUCUUGUACUACUGUUGUACUUGCUUCAUCAGAUGCUGAACUAUAUAUUCUGAGUUUUAUGUAUGAUUCAGCUCAAAUUUGACCCAAGUUACACUUAAUGAAUCAAAUGAUUUAUAUAUUUAAAGAAAUAGUGAAUUCCUCUAAUUACCUAAGCAAACAUAUAUGGACACCAUAUGUUGUGGCUGUAAGCCUGUGUAAACCCUCUGAAGGGCAUAUCCGUUUGGGGACAAAACGAGCUAAGUGUUGGAAACUCAUGAAAAUCAUACCUAAAAGUUUUAUAAAUUUAUGAAAAAAACUACAUAUAGGUGUAGAUAUAAAAUACAUUUUCACAAUUCUCCAGUUCAAACUUAACUUUAUUUAGGUGUAACAAAAAAGACAAAUUUCAGGUGAAUAGUGUCCUCUUACUAUUAACCUGAAAUUUGUCUUUUUUUUCCUCUUAAACGAAGUUGAGUUUAGAGUUGAGAUUUGGUGAGAAUGUAUUUCAUAUCUACACCUAUCUCUAGUAUUUUUUUUCAUGAAUUUACGAAACUUUUUGAUAUGAUUUUCAUGAGUUUUCAACACUUAACUCGUUUUCAUGAAAAUAUGUCCUCUUUCGUUUUGGAGGAAAUUCAAAGGUUUUGGAUUCCUAAGGAUUAAUUCAUAUGAGUAUCAUUCGGUUAAUAAGAAUGUAGGUAUAGGAAACAAAGUUUUUUUUUACAAGUUAUAGAGAGAAAACAUAGACACUUUUUCAUCCACUCAAACCUUUUUGGAAAAUUCCUAUGGAUUGAAGUUUUCAUGCAUUCCUAUUCCUCCACUUUUACUAUUCCUAUAUGUUUAAAUUCCUCCAAAAUGAAUAGGCCCUAAGAUCAGUAGACGUCAUUGAAAUCCUAGAUUAAGUUUGUUUUUUUACUGUCCUUGUCUUUGCUCAGGUUGCAGUUUUCUUUUAAAAAACGAUGUCGGAAUUGGGAUUUCUUUUCUUGACACACAUUACAUUUAGGCGCAAAUACUCACUCUAUAAACAAACACGCUCUAUCCAUAUGAACACCUUUCAAGGUCUGAUCUGACAUAUUUAAAGUCAUUAUAAGUAUCUCGUCGUUGAUAGGUACAUCAUCUAUAAUUAAAGAAAAUAAUUAGUAAUAAAUACAAGUACCGGUGCUAAGUAACGUACUACUAGAAAUUGAUGUAUGAUUAAAGGAAUAUGUUCCAUAUAUGUAGGUACAACUGUGUUAGAGCUAGAGAUAUAGUACUAUCAAUAUUCAAUUCUUCCAAAAAAAUUUGCUUUUAUGCUAGCUGGACCCAACCAAGCAUUUCUAUCGCCUACUUUGAUUUUUGUCGAGCAACAACUGAUUUUUGACCUUAUUCGAUGGGGCUUGCAUAUGGAAGAAACCGUGUAUGCCAUAUUUUUUUAUAAGUAAAGCACACAACCUGUAAACCUAGAAAUAUAUCACUUAUAGAACCGGAUAUGUUAGGGUAGUUCCAACCCUCUAUUUCAGCUAGCUUACAUAGCAUUAAAUAUCGUGUGACAUAAGAAGAAAAACUAAGGUGGCAAGAGAGUUAAUAAGAAUAACGGCAAAAGAUAAAGAAACCAGCUCUAUGCAAGAAACAAGAAUUAACACAAGGAGCAAGGGAGAUGAGAUUAGAUAAGAAUUUAUUUUGAAGAAACCAUUUUGGGCAUACAAUUUUUAUACGUAGUACCUAUAUGAUAUAUGAUAUGGCGAGUAUGAUAAGUACCAUAUAGUUUCUAGGUCGGGAUUUUCCUUAUAUCCAUCGACUUUUAAAACCAAUUAUAAUACUUUCUUAAGAGCUAUUUAAUUUAGUCUUUGAUAACAAUCCGGCCCAGGUGGGGUCGGCCGAGACCCAAUAACUUAAGGUUACCCGGACCCCAACAGUUCUUAGGCACACCCACUCGGGGAACCCAAUUUCCCUAAAAGACUAGUCCAAUAGGGGAAUGGUGGCUCUCCCUUUUAAGGUGGCUUCUUCCUCCCAAACUAAGCAAGGUGGGAUUAUUCAAAGGCUCACAUGGUCGCUGCCCGAGCUAAGCAAGGUGGGCUCACACGGUCGCCGCCCGAGCUAAGCAAGGUGGGAUUAUUCAAAGGCUCACACGGUUGCCACCCGACUUUGGCGUCUUUGCCAGCGGGUAAUAGUGGAGGAUGUCCUCAUCAUUCCCACCCUCUUAACAAGGGCCCAGCUCUGAUACCAAAUGAUAACAAUCCGGCCCAGGUGGGGUCGGCCGAGGCCUAAUAACUUAAGGUUGCCGUAUCAAAUGAUAACAAUCCAGCUCAGGUGGGGUCGGCCAAGGCCUAAUAACUUAAGGUUGCCCGGACCCCAACAGUUCUUAGGCACACCCACUCGGGGAAAGGCCUAAUCUCUCUAAAAGACUAGUCCAAUAAGGGAAGGGUGGCUCUCCCUUUUAAGGUGGCUUCUUCCUCCCAAGCUAAGCAAGGUGGGAUUAUUCAAAGGCUCACACGGUCGCCGCCCGACUUUGGCGUCUUUGCCAGCGGGUAAUAGUGGAGGAUGUCCUCAUCAGUCUUCAUGUUGUAGCAUAUAUUGUUGCCGCACCGAAAAUUUGUUUUAAACAUACUUAAAUCAUCUAGUUAGCAUUUUAAACCAUAAAAGUCAAAAGGACAUGCUGGUAUUUGGAUGGCAAAAUCACCAUUAAUAAAUGGUUGGUGGUGUUUGAACUUGUUUUGAUAUUUCUUCCAUAAAAAAAUACCUCUCAUGCUUUGAUCUCAACCAUCCAUUUGUCAUAUGCAUUUACAAUCCACUAAGAAUAGUUAUUGCUAUAAAGCUUAAUGUGCAUUGAACUAUAACACAUAGUCAUUGGAUCCCUCUCAUGUUUGAUACAUAAAAAAUCUAAGGGCAUAUUUGGGGGAGCUUAAGAUUCUGAGAAGCAACUGGUUGGUAGCCAGCUUCUGAGAAUCUGGAAAAGCUGGGUUUCCCAGCUUCUGACUUAUAGUUCAUCUUCUGGAUUCUACAACUACAGCUUCUUAGAAUCUGGACCAAAAGCUGUACUGUUUGGGGGAGCUUAUGAUUCUGGGAGAAGCUGCAGCAGAUAGAAGCUCCCCCAAACAGGCCUUAAGUGUUAUGUAGUAUUCCCCCGUCCCUAAAUAUAAGGGAUUUUGGUUGGAUGUGACGCAUCCUAAUACUACGAAUCUGGACAUAGAGUAUAUCCAGAUUCGUAGUACUAGAAUACACCACAUCCAACUAAAAUCCCUUAUAAUUAAGGAUGGAUGGAGUAUUGUAUUUUCACAUCAACUACUAUAGAACAAAUAUAGAUUAUUUAGAUAUCUAUAUCUAUAUAUCCUACUAUAGUUGGAACCAUAAACUUGACAUGCAUUGAGCCAUGUCAUCUAGAUAGGGAUGCAAGCGGGGCGGGCAAGCGGGUUUUUUUUUCCCGCUUAUCCCACUUCUAGUUCAUUUUUCUUCUAAAUUUUGUACUAUGAUGUAAAAAAUACACUAGCAAGCGGGUUUUUAUGCGGGUAGCGGGACUACCCACUUGCAUCCCUACAUCUAGAAAAUAGUAGCUUUUUGAUCCAUCUCAUGCUUUCAUCUCAACCAUCCAUAUGCCAUAUGCAUUUACAAUCCACUAAAUAUAGUUAAUUGUUAUAAAAUUUAAUGUACAUUGAACCAUGACAUCUAGAAAAGUAAUAACCAUUGGAUUCCUCUCAUGAUUGAUACAUAACCAUUCAGGUGCCAUAUACAGUUGCAAAUUUUCUUUAAAGGGCCAUCAAUAGAAUAUCAUUUUUUAGUUUAAAAGUAAAGGUGGUAUAUACGCGUAAAUUUGCGUUGCCUUGAAAGUAACAUAUUGUUGUGAACUUAAUAUUGGUUUUGUAAACUUAAUUUAGCAUAAAUUGAUAGUUUAAAAGUUUAGUAAAAUUUCACUUUGGGUCACCUUUUAUUACCGGUAUUUCUCUUUGGAUCACUAUUUAACCAAUGUUUUCACUUUGGAUCGAGUAAUAUUACUUUUGCUGCAUUUUGGAUUGCCCUUACUCUCUUUCAAGCAUACGAAUGAUUUUGAGUACGCCAACUCUGAUUCGUCAGUGAACUCCCACCGCUUUAUAUAGACAAUUUAUUUGACAAAUGACAAAUUUAAUGUAGAUGGAUAAAAGAGUUGAUGGUGAUCCAAAGUGACACAAAGUAAGAUUACCCGGUUUAAAGUGAAAACAUUAGUUAAAGAGUAAUGUAAAGUGAAACAAUCGUAAUAAAAGGUGGUCCAAAGUGAAACUUAUUUAGUGAAUAUUAUCCUGCACUUGAGAUUAAAAAGUGUCAUGCAGGGAAAACACUAGUUAUAUGGUGAUAGAGUCGUAGGCGUAUGACUCCACCAUUCACCAGGGUUCAAAAUCUUGAUACCACGAAUAUUAUAUUUUGCCUACACAUAUAGGUGAACUUUCAACAAAAUUUUAGUGAGAUGAGUGAUGUGCCAUUGAUUUUUGUCUCUUUUUUUAGAAGUACAAACUCAGGCGCUCACAUAAUGCGUGAGCGUGUGUGAGUAUGGUGUUACAUGUUUAAUAGUGUGUGUGGGUGUGUGUCUAAUGUGUAAUUGAAUAAAAAAAAUCAUACAAGUCAUAUGUUUUCUAAUUUAAUGAGUUGUUACAUAUCCAAUUGGCAUGUAGGACCAAAAUAUCAUCAAUUUCAAUGCUACAGAAAAAUAAUUUUUUAAAAAAGAUGCCGCUGCAAAAUCAUCAUCAUUUACUUAUUUUGUCACCACAUCACUCUAAAUCAAUUAGAUUACUCUUAUCCUAUGGCCUUAUCCAAAAUACUCCAAUUUACCUAUCCUAAAAUCGGUCAUAAGGAUUCUAACGGAUCAACCCAUGAAUCUAUUUGUAGGCAAAAUUAGUUUGUUAAACCGUGGAUUGACUCAUGACUUAUCUACUAAUUCAAGCUAUAAAUAGAUUUAUGGAUUGAUCCACUUACAUUUUUAAGGCGUGGAAAGCGGCAAGGGAAUUCAUAGGUUAUCAACUAGUUUCGCGGAUGGACCCGUUUGUAUACGGCCCUAUUCCAAUCAAAAAAAAAGAAAAAAAAAGAAAAGAAAACAAAAGAACACCGACGCGGGCAGCAAUUGCAGUUGCAGUUACAACCGGCAAAUCUCUCGCGACCCUGCACCGUAGCAGCGUCGACGCGAGGCGGACAGCCUCUUCUUCCUCCUCCCUUUCCACCCCCCACAGAGAUCUCGCCUCUCUCCUCCUCCCUUUCCCUCUCCUUCCUUCCAGAUCUCUCCACGCGCCGCCCCGAUCUCUUCCCCCCACCCCCACCUCGUCACCGGCGGGGAGGAGGGCCCGGCCGCCGGCAGCCAUGAUCUCCUCCAGUAAGCUCAAGUCCGUCGACUUCUACAGGUCCCCUCCACUCCCGAUCUCUCUCUCUCUCUCCCUCCAUUGCUUGCUAUGGUACUCCCUGUGCGCGCGCGCGCGGGGGGGAUUUCGACGCGGUCCUCGGCUGGGGGUGCUGGUCCGGGUUCGGAUUGGGUGAAUUCUCUUGCCUGGCUGUUCUGGCGAUUGCAGUAGAUGGUUUGUGAUGGUUCGUUGAUGCACCGAGAAAAUCGGGGUUGCGUGGGCGUAUGUGGUGGUAUUGACCAUUCGUGCGGUCGUUGCGAGUAGUGUAAUGUCUGGUGUAUUUUCUACUGAGAUGGGUAAUUUGGUUGAUGCGCUUUUUCUUUUCGUGCUUGCAGGAAAAUUCCUAGGGAUUUGACCGAGGCAUCACUAUCUGGGGCUGGAUUGUCCAUUGUAGCAGCACUAGCUAUGGUGUUUUUGUUUGGAAUGGUCAGUUUUCGUUGGAUUAGCGAUUGCACUGUUAUUUUUAGAUUUCAUUUUUUCACUCUGGUUCCAGUCUUUAGGGAAACAAACAAAAAAUGGUUGGACUGUUCUUCUGUUCCAUUUGGUGAUUGUAGACUGAAAUUUGGUACAGAGCCAUACUAAAAUGAUAGAGCAUUUAUUUAUUUAUAUGCAGAUUAGUUGUCUUCUACCAUUCCAACUGCUGUAGUGUAGCUAAUCGCUAUCGCCGGAUCAAUGUAGAGUCUCGAUUUGCUUGUUUCAUUUGAUGAUUGAGAAUAGCUCGUUUUUCCUGAUAUCUGUUUCAAUUGACUAUUAGAGCUUCAUGAUAGGCUAGAUUCUUAACUGAACCUAUUUUGGUUGAAUAUUUUUGACCGAAUUAUCAAUUGGUCCAUCCAACCUUGAAAGUGGCAGUUAAGUAAUGUAUAUGCCCAAGUAUAUUGUAAUUACUCCGGAACAUAUGCAUAAUUUUGGCUGUUGCUUGUUAAGGCUUGCAAUGUGCUAUACUUUUCACUAUGCUGAGCUGAUUCCUUAAUCAAGCUUUAGACUAGUUUAAAGGUUCAUUUCAACUGAAAAGCUAAAUCUGUUCAAUUGUUAUUGCAGGAACUGAGUAAUUACUUAGCAGUCAAUACUAGCACAUCUGUGAUUGUUGAUAGGAGUUCAGAUGGGGAGUUCUUACGGAUAGAUUUUAACUUAAGGUAAAUUCUAUGGCACAUGCUGCACAUCUCAACAAGUAAUAAGGUUAGAAUACAAAAUGAGAACCUUCAUGAUCACAUAGAUAAUACUGCUAUCAUUAUGGUUCAUAGAACUAAUGUCUUCCUAAUUCUCUAAUCUGCUGAUAGUAAUUUUAUCCCUAUUGUGAUUAAUUUUAAUGGAAUACUAUAUAUGCAACAGCAAAGCACAGCGUUAAUUAAUGUCAGGCACUCAGUACAUUCUUUUCAAUGUAUUUGUACUCAUUUGGUGCAUUGUGGAAAAAAACAUAUGAUUCUCAGUUAAUUCAUUUAUCUUCAAAGGUCACCUAAUUACCAGAUCCAACCAUUUGUAGUAAUAUGUUUGUAGAAUAAUUCUGAUGUUGUUCUUUUACUCAACACUUUCAACCCUUGGUCUAUAUGAACCUGAGAGCCAUUGUUUAUACUUGAAAUUGAUGCUUUCCAGCAAACAAGGACUAGUCAGGCACUGCUCAUUUAUUUGUAUGUGAUAAUGCAUAGGAGGGUAUCUACAUUAGUCUAGCUGGUUGCCCAUUGUUUUCUAUGGAAUGACAUCAGCAAAGCUGGACUCAACUUUUCCUUGUUUUUCCAGUAGAUGCUCACGAUCUGGUUCUGUGAUUUACAGCUUUCCUGCACUUUCAUGCGAAUUUGCAUCAGUUGAUGUCAGUGAUGUUCUGGGAACAGUAAGAUUCUAACUUGACCUCAUGUACUCUGUUUUUGUUCAUCUGCCGUCUAGAAUGAGGAUAUCAUUGAAGGACAUGAAGCUCAUCUUGCGCGUUCCAUAAAAACUAUUGUUGACUUUAUUUUCUUGUUAACUUGCCAUUACAAAUAACUUUCCACUAGCUUUUAAAAGUACUCCCUCCGUUUCACAAUGUAAGUCAUUCUAUCAUUUCCCAUAUUCAUAUUGAUGUUAAUGAAUCUAGACAUAUAUAUCUAUCUAGAUUCAUUAACAACAAUAUGAAUGUGGAAAAUGCUAGAAUGACUUACAUUGUGAAACGGAGGAAGUAAGCUCUACAUGUAUAUUUUACACCAAUGUUAAAAAUACGAAAUAUGACAAUUUAUCAGUUUUUGUAAAGUUCUGUGCAUGUCAAAAGAAUGAAACCUAUCCUAAAUUCCUAACUAACUUUCUAUCUAUAAGCAUUUCUUGAUCAUAUCUUGCCUUUUGUAGCUCGAGUUUUUCUCCAUGCUGGUUUAACCUUAAAGUUUCUGUUCAAAACACAUGCAGAACAGAUUGAACAUAACGAAAACUGUUCGCAAAUAUUCAAUUGAUCGGAAUUUAGUGCCUACUGGAUCCGAGUUCCACCCAGGACCUAUUCCUACGGUCAGCAAACAUGGAGAUGAUGUUGAAGAAAACCAUGAUGAUGGUUCAGUUCCCUUGUCCUCUCGCAAUUUUGAUAGCUAUUCACACCAGUAAGUAUUCAAAUAUGUAUUUCAAUAUCCACCUAUCCGUAACACAUAACAUAUAGCAUUUUAGCAAUUGUGCGUUUCAAUACCAUAUCAACGGUCAACCUAUUAUUCAUGUAUGCUGUCUUCUUUCUCCUUCACAUUCAUGGAGAAAUGUACUUUAUAUUCAUAGCUCCAAUCACUUCAACCAGAUUGUCUAUGGCAAAUUGGUGAUAAUCUUCACUUUUACCUGCCUCAAGUAUUUUUCCUUGAAGUGCCGUUCGGUAUAUCUAGUUAAUCCCUCUUGUAUUGUUUCGGAGCCCAAAUAUUGUUUCCACUGAUUAUUAUCAUGCACUUCCUUUUCAGGUAUCCUGUUUUGGUUGUUAAUUUUUAUGCCCCCUGGUGUUACUGGAGCAAUCGAUUGGUUAGAAUUCAUCUUGUUCCUUUGCAUUUAGUGAUUUUCUAGUAUAUGCUACUCUAUCUGUAAGGAAAUGAUUAGUAAAUUAUUGCUGGUAAAGUAAUGUAAGUAUGGCACGGCUUAUUGAACUAACAAAUGGAGACAUUUCUAAUUACUUGAUCUUCCUCCAGAAACCUUCGUGGGAGAAGACUGCAAAAAUAAUGAGGGAGAGGUACAUACUGUUUCUCUUUGUUUGUGUUUUGUGGUUUUAAUGUGCUGUUUAAUCUAUACCAUGUUGUUUUUUUUUUCUGCAGAUAUGAUCCUGAAAUGGAUGGCAGAAUCAUUCUUGCCAAGGUUGACUGCACUGAAGAAAUUGACUUGUGUAGGAGGUUCGUCUGUACUUAAUUAUUAUUCAUAUCCAAAACAAGGACAAAGCAUAUUUAGGCUGCAACAUGAACUUUACAAAUCCCUUUUUGAUCCAUGUACCAAGAGAAAUUUAGUUAAUUAGUUUUUAGAGUAAAGUCCAUCACCGGUCCCUAAACUUGUACCGCUGUGUCAUCCCGGUCCCUAAACUCGCAAAUCGAUCAUUCAGGUCCUUAAACUUGUUCGACUGUAUCAUCCCGGUCCCUAAACUUGCAGAUCACUCGUUUAGGUCCUCCAACUUGUUCAGUUGUGUCACCCCGGUCCCUAAACAGGACGGUCUAAAAACUUUAUACCAAAAAAUAAUUCAUAACUUUUUCAUGUGAACUCUAAUAAAGACAAACUUUAUAUCAAAAUUGUAGCCCUCGACGCGACCUACAACUUUGUAGUUGAAAAUUUUUUGAAUUAAAACUGUUUAGGGUCCCAAAAUAUUGUUGCAUGUUUAUAGAUUUUGUAAUUUUAAUUUUAAAAUUACAUUUUGGGACAAAAAAUGACUUAAAAUAAAAAAAUUAUCAACUACAAAGUUGUAGAUCGCGUCGAGGGCUACAAGUUUGAUAUAAAGUUUGUUUUCAUUAGAGUUCACAUGAAAAAGUUAUGAAUUAUUUUUAAAUAUAAAGUCUUUAGACCGUCCUAUUUGACCCAGAUGAUAUUCAAAUCCAAGUUUAGGGACUGGGGUGACACAACUGAACAAAUUGGAGGACCUAUACGAGUGAUCUACAAGUUUAGGGACCGGGAUGACACAGUCGAACAAGUUUGAGGACCUGAACGGUCGAUUUGCGAGUUUAGGGACCGGGAUGACACAACGAUACAAGUUUAGGGACCGGUGAUGGACUUUACUCUAGUUUUUAAUAUCCCCAACAAAGUGUCAUUAUUAUGCCACAUCUUUCAUGAGCUAUUCGUGUUUGUGUCCUCUUAUCCUGGUUCAGUGGAUGCUUAUGCCUUCUGGACUUGUUUGCAUUUGGAAUGAUUCAAAAGCCUUUAUUCCAUAGAUCACAACCCUAAUUGUUACUGACCAUGUUUUUAUAAGAAAAUGAGCCAUUCUGCUUCUGAUGACACUGGUUUCUGUGUAAUAGUGCCAUUGCCAUUGAUGCACAUAGUAACAUUUCAAGCUAUGCGCAUUGGAUGUGAACCACAACUCCUCAAUAGAAGCCUUAAAUUGUUCUCCCACUAGUUUUACCUAAUUAUAUGUGCUCUUGUUAUGCUUGUUCGUCAUUAAAUUAAGGACUACAGUUCAUUGUUUUAAUUUAUUAAAUGCAGGCACCAUAUACAAGGUUAUCCAUCCAUUCGCAUUUUCCGUAAAGGGAGUGAUCUUAAGUAAGUUCAAGUAAAUCUUACAGUCUUCCGGAUACUCUACUGAGAGUUAACCUGUGGCGCAAGACUUGUAUUAUUAUUAUUUUUUUGCUCAUGUUCCAGAAACAAACAAAUUGACAUUUGUGCAGGGAAAACCAGGGUCACCAUGAUCAUGAAUCAUACUACGGCGAUCGUGAUACUGAGAGUUUAGUAGCGGUAUGUAUAUUCUGUUACCCACUUAUUUUUCUUGAUGUACUGCAUGAUAUAUUCUUCACCCUAAGCUUUAGCUUACCUGUAAAAGGUAUUGUCCCCAUUUUCCUAGGGAGAACAAAAGGCUAACUAUCCUUUGCUUGUAAAUCACUGACUUUGUUCAUGGUCUUGUCAAAUUGUGGAUAAAAUUCCUGACAUUUUUUUGGGCCUCAGGCAAUGGAAACUUAUGUUGCAAACAUCCCAAAAGAUGCCCAUGUUCUAGCUUUGGAGGACAAAUCCAAUAAGACUGUUGAUCCUGCAAAACGCCCUGCUCCAUUGACCAGUGGAUGCAGAAUAGAAGGUUUUGUGCGGGUAAAAAAGGUAAAUGAACUUCUGAGGUGUAAUAGUUGUAGUGUUGAUGAUGAUCUCUAUCUGUGGUAUUUGAUUUCUGGUUCCUCUUUAUCAGGUCCCUGGGAGUGUUGUAAUCUCAGCUCGAUCUGGUUCCCACUCCUUUGAUCCAUCCCAGAUAAAUGUUUCCCACUAUGUAACACAGUUCUCUUUUGGCAAAAGGCUAUCGGCAAAGAUGUUUAAUGAACUGAAAAGACUAACUCCCUAUGUUGGUGGCCACCAUGAUAGAUUAGCUGGUCAAUCCUACAUUGUUAAGCAUGGUGAUGUCAAUGCCAACGUUACUGUAAGUCCCUAAAUUUUGCUUUGUUUUUGUUAUCAAGAUGAUUACAGCAGGCAUGCCUUCCAGCACUAAAUUUUCUGGUUUCUUAUGGAGUAACAUAGUUUUUGUUUUUUGUCAUUCUUAGAUUGAGCAUUACCUGCAAAUUGUGAAAACUGAGCUUGUUACACUGAGAUCAUCAAAGGAAUUGAAACUGGUUGAGGAGUAUGAAUACACAGCGCACAGCAGCUUGGUGCACAGCUUCUAUGUUCCUGUUGUGAAAUUCCAUUUUGAACCUUCUCCCAUGCAGGUUGGCAUCUCACCUUUUCUUCGUUUGGUUCAUAACUGAAAGAAAAACUAAUUCUUAUUUUAUCAUCACUUCCAAGGUCUUGGUAACUGAACUUCCAAAAUCCUUCUCCCAUUUCAUCACAAAUGUUUGUGCUAUCAUUGGAGGAGUUUUCACGGUGAGAGCACACACCCUUUUUUUAUCUUUUCCUUUUCUCUGAAUCCAUCAAGUGUACAUGGCUAAUGAAAUGACAUGCGAAUUCUAGGUUGCUGGAAUACUGGAUUCCAUCUUCCACAACACCUUGCGGCUGGUUAAGAAGGUCGAGCUUGGGAAGAACAUUUGAACAACAAGAUUAUUCUUCAGAAGCAGCCUCAAGCUUAGUGGUUGCACUAGUUUUAGUCAUUAUUUUGUUAUACCAGGGUAGGAAUUCUUAAUAUAUCAAGAUGUGAAAGAGGGUAGUGGGUUGGCAGAGGAGGAGAAGUUGGGGUCAUGAUAUAUAGUAAUAGUAGGUAGGGACCUCACUGUUUUGCUAAACGACUUCGUAAGAACAAUAAGACAGUGGAUCCUUGUUAACUAUACCCUACGUUAAUUCGUCCAGACUUGUGUUGUGUUACUCUGUUUACUGUUGUGAUGGCACCUGUCAUUACUCGUUACUCUGGAUUUGUCUUCCGUCUCAAAAUUCAUCUACGGUAACCAGUAUUUUUAAGUUCGCUUUUGUGGCGCGAUGUUACUGUCUGACAUCCUUUUUGUUCUAUGUUCUACAAACAAAGGGCUGGUUUAGAUGGCAAAAAUUUUUGUUUUGUGGUGUUACAUUAAAUAUACGGACACACAUUUGAAGGAUUAAACGUUGUCUAAUAACAAAACAAAUUACAUAUACGAAUUUAUUAAGCCUAAUUAAUUCGUCAUUAGCAAAUGUUUACUGUAACACCACAUUGUUAAAUCAUAGCGCAAUUAGACUUAAAAGAUUCGUCUCGCAAUUUACAUGCAAUCUGUUCAAUUGGUUUUUUUUGUUUACAUUUAAUACUUCAUGUAUGUGUCUAAACAUUCGAUGUGAUGGGUGAAAAGUUUUUCUUUUGGGAACUAAACAUGGCAAAACAAGCAAGUGCAAUACGCUGAAUUCUGGUAAUUGUUUCCCAGAUAUACAAGUACUGUACUCUGAAUCUAUUGAAUGUCAGCUCAAAAUUAUUCUUGGUAAGUAUUGCUUUGCUUUAAUGCUUGUGCCCCCAGUGGUAUACUGCUGUUUUUUCAAAUUGGAUCCAUGCCACUGCAGCCAAUUCAGAAGCAAAAGGCAAAUUACACCAUAAUGCGAUCAAUACCGUGCAUGGCGGUUUAUAUAUACAUACACACACACAUAAUCCGUGCUGUUGAUCGCAGUUGGGUAAAACGCCCUUGCUUACAAGCCAUUCUCCCAAGAUAUGCACACGAAUUUCCAAACAACCAAAUUGAAAACCCAGAAUCAAGUAAGCUCGAACGUUGCCCAGGACAUGCAAACAAAAACCAGACGAAAUAUAAACUCAAACCAUAAUCAUCAUCCUUCCCCCCCCCCCCCCCCCACACACACACACACUGACCAGCACAAGAAAACGUACAUAUAUACAUCAAGAUAAACAAAAUUCGAUCGAUCACGAGUUCUUCGAGCUGAUCAGCAAGAUCAUCAUCAUCAGCUAGAGCUAGCUAAAGUAGCUUAAUUAGCAUCGAUCGAUGACGGAGGGGAAGAAGACGAAGACGAAGCCGCACAGGAGGGCGUGCUGCCUGCUGCUCGCCGCCGUCGCCGUCCUCGGCGCGCUGGUGCUGGCGCUCUACCUCGUCUACCGCCCCCGUCCGCCGCGCGUGGUGGCCACGCCGGUGGACGUGACGAUCGAGCUCUUCAGCCUCGUGCCGCCGAAGCUGAAGGCCGCCGUCGGCGUGCACGUGGUGGUGACCAACCCGAGCAACUCGGCGUACCGGUACGGCGAGUCGCUGGCGUCGGUGACGUACCACGGCGAGCGCGUGGGCGCGUCGGUGGUGCCCCGCGGCGAGGUGGAGGCGAGGUCGACGCGGCUGAUCGAGCCGGCGACGGCGGUGGACGUGGUGCGCGUCGCCGAGAGCCCGCACUUCGCGCACGACGCGGCCGCCGGCGUGCUGCCGUUCGUGGCGGUGACCACCGUGGAGGGGAAGGCGCUGGUGCUCCGGUCGUUCGAGGUGAGCGUGUCCGUGGAGGUGGUGUGCUUCGUGCAGAUGUACGUGUUCCACGGCGAGAGCACCUCGCGCUGCGUCUCCACCGUCCGCACGGCCACGGAAACCGUCUCGUCGGAGCCAUCCGGCGCCCGUGGCGCACGUAACUCUGUUCCUAGCUAUGACUAGCUAAACUACACACGUACUACGUAGUAUUACACUACACUACACAUGUCACAAACUUUAUUAUUUAUUGGAGUACUUUUUACAGUGUUUCAUUUUGUAAUUUUUGAGUGUAUAUAUAUACAUAUAUGCAUUCCUUCAGUUCUCAUUUACUUUCUUCGUCCUAAAAUAUAAUACGAGAAUGAUACAGUCUGUUCAGAUUCAUACUAUCUACUUUCUCCGUCAUAUAAAAGACCAACCUGGUAUCGAAUGUGACACAUUCUAGUACUACGAAUCCGGACAUAUAUCUGUCUAGAUUCAUAGUACUAUAAUAUGUCACAUCCAGUACUAGAUUCGUUUUUUUAUGGGACAUGGAGUUAGUUUUAAAUCUCGUACCAUGUUCUUAUAUUCUAGAAUGGAGGGAGUAGUUAACAAUUUUAAUUUUGGCUAUAAUUAAAUAUAUAAGUUUUAAAUUAUAACAUUUUGAUGAGCCAAAUUUAAACGCAUCGGUGACACCGACGCGAACAGCUUCUGCUGUGUCCAUCAGUGUUCUUGCUUCUAGAGGUUGAGAUUCAGAGGCUGAGCUUUCGUUCGACAUAACAAGGCAACAUAAUAUAAUCUCGUCGGAUUACAAUUAAACUGAGCUAGCUAGAGCGUAGUGACCAAGAGUACAAAAAGGAUACCCAACUAAAUGAUGAAUUUUUUGCAUCACGUCGUGUCAGGACUCGAGUUUAAUUUUAUAAUUUCUUGCUUAAUUCUGAACUUGUCUUACUGUCCAAACUCUGAAAAAGACUUUUUCUUCGAUUGCACACGGAACGAUCGAUCGAUAGAGUAAACAAAGGGUAAAACGGACGAAACAAUGACGACGACGGCAAAAGGCACAAUGCGUUACGUCGUUGUCGAGUGUCGACACAGUUCAGACUGUGAGCCAAGAGUUGAAUAAACAUGCGGCAGUGUAGCACUCUUCAAUUUUGAGACAGGCGGCUGUGCUAUGAUGUUGUUUUGGGCCCUUAUAUUGGUGCUGUUUACUAUCAUAAAUUCCUUCCUUAAUUGCAUAAUGAGCCGAUAUCACAAAUUCAUAAACUAAAUUAUCUCAAAAAAAUUCAUUAACUAAAUUAACCUUAAAAAAUAUUGUUACCAAACUCCAGUUUCCCCAUGUACUCGUAUGUUACCUUCUUGGACCUAGAGGCAUGACAGAAAUGACCUUAACUUUCAUAAAAGAACAAAUCAGUAAGCCCUCUUAUUCCAAAAAAAAAAUGGUGAACAAAUCAGACACAAAUUAAAUCAGAUGUGUGGCUGAAAAAAGAACAAGGAAAUAUAUAUAGCAAAUCAGAUAUCAUAAGAAGAUAUUGCCCCUCACAAUCUCCACAGAAUCCUUCCAUCAGCUCACAAAUCUCCAAAAUUAAUUCCAAAACGGACACCGACGAUAAGAAAACUAAAUAAAUUAGCAGGCAAAUUAAUUAUAAACAUGUACAAAGCCCCAAAUUAACAGAAAGGAAAAUAACAAAAACCAGCUGAAAUUCCAAUGCAGCUUCCCUUCUUUACAUAUGGCAACCCUUCUCUCCCCUUCUUCCAUGCAUAUUAAUCCCCCAAAAAAAAUCAAGAAAAAAUAAUUAGCACGUCAAUUAAUCGCCAAAUUCGCCGCCGGGGGACAUGGCCGCCAGGAGGAAGCCCGCGCUGAUCUGCUGCGGCGCGGCGCUCGCCGCCGCCGUCGUCCUCGCCGCCGUCUUCACCGCGCUCUACUUCACCGUGCUCCGGCCGCGGCCGCCGCGGGUGACGGCGACGGUCGUCGGCACGCGCGUCUCCGCCUUCGCCCUCAUCCCGUCGCCGGCGCUGAACCUGACCUUCGACGUGGCCGUGGCGGCGUACAACCCGAACCGCGCGGCGUUCGAGUAUGGCGAGGUGGUGACGGUGGUGCGGUACCACGGCGACGCGGUGGGGGAGGCGGUGGUGCCGCGCGGGGAGGUCGGGGCGCGGGCGUCGGCGGAGGUGAGGGCGGCGGUGGAGGUGGACGCCGUGGAGGUGUUCUCGUCGCCGUACUUCCCCCUGGAGGGGAUCGCCGGGGCGCUGCCGUUCGAGACGGCGACGACGGUGGCGGGGAAGGCGGUGGUGCUGGGCGUGCUCAAGAUCAGGGCGAGCUCCGUGGUGACGUGCGGCGUCACGGUGUUCCCGCUCAGGAAGGAGACCACGUCGCCCCAGUGCACCUCCACCGUCCACGUGGGCUGAUCGAUCGAUCGCGGCCGUCCGUACUUCGUGCGAUGGCCUUUGUUCAAUUGUACAAAAGUACGCAAGUUAAAUUAAGCCCCUCUUUAGGAAUUACAGUACACGCGCUUGUUUUUUUCAAGUAUACUGCUCUUGCUUUGAGCAAUUUCUUUUAAUGGAUAGUCAGAUUGGACUGCGUUAUAUUUGAUACUACUUCUGUUUCAGUCGCGCGCACGCAUAUAUAUAUAUAUAUAUAUAUAUAUAUAUAUAUAUAUAUAGAGUAAAUUUGUUUGGUGCUCCAUGGUGACCGGGCACCAUUGUUGAAAUUGAGUAUAUACCCAAUUCAAAUGAGUAUGAAACUUUUUCAAUUACUUAGGUAUUAACAUUAACUACUUUACUAACUAGUUUAAAGCAAGUUUGAACUGAAUUUGAACUUGUUUUUGUUAGAUUUUGAUUCUAGGUAUAUAGCAUCCAUACAUAUAAUUAGUUAGGUAUGUAAUCAUGGAUUGUGAAAUAAAGUUAAAUUUGAGUUGUUUUGUUGAUAAGUAUAGGUAUGAAUCAAAUUAUUAUAACUAGGUAUAUACUCACAAUUUGAAAAUUUUAAAAAAUUUGAGUGAUUUUGUGCAUUAGAUACCAUGGUGCCCGGGCACCAUGGUGCCCCAUAUGAGUGUCAUAUAUAUAUAUUCAUAUGGGACUCUAUGGCGUCCGAGCUCCAAGGUAUAAAACACACAAAUUCUCUUAAAUUUUUAAAAAUUUACAAAUUGUAAGUAGAUAUCUAGGUAUAUGAAUUUGAUUCAUACAAAUAACUAACAAUAAAAUAACUCAAACUCAACUUUAUUUCACAAUUCAUUAUUACAUACCUAACGAAUUAUAUGUUUGGAUAUUAUAUACCUAGAACCAAAAUCUAACCAAAAAAAAGUUCAAACUUGUUAGUAAAGAAGUUAAUGUUUAUAUAUAGGCAAUGCUAAAAAAUAUUAUAAUAUAAAACGGAGAAAGUAGAAGGCUAGGAGGGAGUUUAAAUACAUAGCCAAAAGCUUAUAAUUAAUACAAUGUAUGAUCCUGACUACAAACAAAUUUGUACGUCAGCCCUCCCUGCUGCAAUAUUCUCUCGAUGCGUUCUGCGCUGCCUAGACCCUAAGCAUGCCCAACAGCUUACCAAUAAUUUAUCUCUAAAAUUUGAUUUUUAGGUUUUUUAAACUGAAAAUAGAAUGUGAUAGAACUCCUUCCUCCAAAAGAAGGCCUAAAUUCAAUUUCAAAAAACUAAAAGUGUGCCUUCUGUUAAACUAGCAACUAAAUUUUCCCGUUUUCCUCCCAUCAUCGUGCGAUCACGGAAUACCAUCGCGAUAUCCUCCUGGCGCCUUCGCCGCACCUUCCCCUCCUGGCGCACCUCCCGCCCCGACGUCGCCCCAGUCUCCCUGCCUCGACGCCGAUCUCCCUCCUCAACGCCAAUCUACUUAUAUGCAACAACAUUCCAGCUGCGUAUAUGCCAGGAGCAGCAGCAGCAGCACGAAUUCCUGCAUCAUAUCAGCAGCAGCAGCAGGAGCAUUCACCACCAGCAGCAGCAUCCAUCAUCACACAGCAGCAGCAGCAUUCACCACCACCAGCAGCAGCAACAGCAGCAUCCAUCACACAGCAGCAACAAGAGCUAUUUAGGCAGAAAUUUCAGCAGCAGCAGCAUUCACCAGUACAAGCAGCAACAGCAGCUAUUUAAGCAGCAAAAGUACGACCACCCUCAUUUAUCAAGUUUGUAAAAUACCCACUUCCAUCCAUUUUCCCUGUUCAUGCCAAAUAAAUGAUUGAAUGAAAGACAGGCUUGAAACCAUUAUAUUUGCUUGCAGCACAUAAACAACAAGCUUCUCUACACAACCAAGGCAGUGUACAGCAAUGAAAUUUAGUUCAUAUAUGUCUCAUUUCUUCAAAAUGGAUGCAAUGUAUCUAGAUUAACACUGGACAAAGUAAAUAACUGCUACAUAUAUAUAGGAGGAAUUAGCACUGAUAGGAGUGACCGCCCCGGUGGUGCGCUCCUCCGGCCGCGCCACGCCGCGCCGACUCGGCGACGUCGAACAGCAUCUAGGAGGCCUGGACGGGCGUGGCGGGGAUCUUGGGGGUGGGGAUGCGCUCCACGUCGCGGAGGAAGAGGCCGCCGCCGCCGCCGCCGUUGAGGACGAUGUCAUUGGCGCCGCUGCCGCCGAGGAAGAGGCCGCCGCCGCCAUGGAAGAGCCUGUUGCUGAUGGCGCUGUGUAAUGUCCCACCUCUUCUAGACCGGGCCCGCUUACAUCCGGUAGCUUUCAUAGGUCAUAAACUGCCCUCACAAACCAACACAAGUCUUUUUUGCACACUUUGUCCUCAUUCAUGCGUAAUCGGGAAGAAUUUCCCGAUCGGUCACCCGUCCCAAAAUUGCUCCAAGCUAAGCACGUUUUGUCCUCACUCAUGCGCAAUCGAGAAGAAUUUCCCAAUCGGUCACCCAUCCCGAAAUUUCUCCAAGCUAAGCACGCUUGGCCUCAGAGUUCUUUCGAUAUCGGCUUCCGAAAAAAGAAGUUGCAACUUGUUGAUAUGAGUAUUCUAUUAAUCCUAUUAACCCCUGGGCCGGGAUGUUACACCCUCACCCCGUUAAGAGAGAUCGACGCCCCCGUCGAUCAACCCCAGGCGUCCCCUCUUGGCCACGUCCGUGUGUCCAGUGCUAGCGCAUGUGCCAUACUGUGUGACCACUCCGGGUCCACACUAGCCAUGCGCACCAUACCUGCGCAACUGCGACACACGCGCCUGUGAAACCGCUUAGGUUGGCUCUGAUACCAUUUUGUAACGUCCCGCCUCUUCCAGGCCGGGGCCGGGCCCGCUUAGGUCAGCUCUGAUACCAUUUUGUAACGUCCUGCCUCUCCCAGGCCGGGGCCGGGCCCGCUUACAUCCGGUAUAGGUCAUAGACUUCUCUCACAAACCAACACAGGUCUUUUCUGCACACUUUGUCCUCACUCAUGCGCAAUCGGGAAGAAUUUCCCGAUCGGUCAUCCAUCCCGAAAUUGCUCUAAGCUAAGCACGCUUAACCUCAGAGUUCUUUCGAGAUCGGCUUCCGAAAAAAGAAGUUGCAACUUGUUGAUAUGAGUAUUCUAUUAAUUCUAUUAAGCCCUGGGCCGGAAUGUUACACGCUGCCACGGAGGAACAAGGUCGCGAGGAGGAGGAAGAGGGCGAGAACAUUUUCGCCGUGCGCGCGCGAGAUGGAGAGAUGAGCGCGAUUGGGAAUAAAAUUCGCUCCCCAGAAGUGAGGUACGAUAUAUCCAGAGUUGAGAACCAGAUCUAUUGGGAGAUAGGAUAGGAAUUCGGUUGGAGACGAUUUUUAACCAAAAUUUCCUAAAUCUGAGGAUAGGGAAUCAAGAAAGGAAGCUGUUGGGCAUGCUCCUACCACCACAUUCCUCAUGGAUAAGGUUGAUAAUUUGAUGGGACGUCGCCUCUUAAAAAUGUAAGAAGAUGUCGUAUUGUCGUCUCUUUGAAAUGGAAGAAGCUUACAUGUGGAUUUUUUUUUUCAACAAUGAAAUUUAUAUCUCCGCUUUGCUGAAAUUAAUUGAAUUAUAUAAGUUAUGUGAAAUUCCUGUGUAAAAGGUUUGUGUGAACGAGUAUAAAGUAUAUGACGUAUUUUGAUUUUUGAAGGAUUCCGCUUGCUUGUUUUUAUCCUUUUUGCGAGAACCGUCUGAAAAAAUUUCAAGCUAUAACCCGUAUUGUCAAAAGUCGAAACAAUCGAGUAACAUUCUGAAUUCGUGCAAGAACCUUUGAAAGUGAUUAACAUGAUGGUCGGUGCAUAUAUCGUCUUUUUUAACUUUGUUUUUUUUUUGUGAUCGAUUAUGCAUCCUUGUUAUAUUAUGACUUGCUUUGCCUUUCAUAAACUUGGUCAAUGAAUAAGAUAUAUUUCUUUUCUGUUGGAGCCACGUCUAGAUUAUCAGUAUAUUCUGAUACUAACAAUGAACACCACACUACAAUCAAAGUAGCGAAGUGAGCGCAAAUUAACUGGUAAGGGUUUUUUUUAAUCAACCCACUCGAUUCUUAGAUUCAAUAUGGGUGCUCGCACGUAUGACCAAUUAACUUUUUUUUUAUAAACGAUGCAUUCAUUGUCAACAAGUCGUUCUCCCGGUAUUUCCGAUAUGUACUUGGAAUGGAAGUAAGAAAAUUGGAUACACACUAGUAGAAAACAUUGAUUUGAUUUUCCUGAAAGAUACAUCUAUUAUUAUAUACUAAAAAUCCAUUAAACUUCCUAUAAAUGCUUUUAAAUUGCCAAAUGUCACCCUAUAAACGCUCUCAACAUGCCAAGUGGCACUCUAAUAAAUAAAUAGAAAUCCAACCAUCUAUUUUUACUUAAAUUGGUGGACCCACUGUUUUGUACGGUUAGAUCUAUUUUGUAAAAAAAACAUCCGAAACCAACAUAUACGGUACCAACGUACAAACGUACGUAUCUACUGUACGUGUACUUCCCUUCUAUCUUUCCUUUGUUAUUUUCUAUUUCAUGAGAAACUAAAAUCAAAAUUAUUCUUAUAGGCAAAAAAAAAAUACAAUUAAACCAACUACUAGGUCUAGCAGCUCUCCCUCUGUCAUAUUAAAUAUCUUACAAACGCUUCUUAAUCGCUACAUGGUGUUAUUAAAUUAGAGAAAGUAUUAAAAAAUCUUAAAAAAUACAAAGCAGCCGAAAUUCAAUUUGUACUUAAAUUGAUGGAUUUAGGAUGUUAGAUUUUUUUAAUAAAAAAUCCCAAACCUCUCUCCCUCCCCACCCCCGUGCAGUGUUAAAAACCAUUACAUAUUUUAUAAAUACCUUUAAGCUGCUUUUUGACAUGCUUAAAUUAA